rnacentral:lncRNA from 1 species
UUUAGAUUAUCUGUUUAUCAGACUUCAUUAAGAGGUUGUUUGGUUUCUUAGAAAAGCACGAAGAAAAAAAUUUCUGAGAAAAAUGUUUUUCAUGAAAAACUGCUUUUCCAGUUUUUCAUCCGUUUGGUUUCAAGAAAAACUACUUGUUUGGAAAGCUUUUUUUCAAAUUUCAUGGCAAGUUAGUGUUUUCCUUUCCUGAUAUUUUUUUUUAGAAAAAUGAGAAGGAUGAUUUUUCAUUAAAUCUGAAAAAAAACUUUCUAAAAAAAUAGUUUUGUCUUGAAACCAAAUCGGCGAAAAAUUGAAAAAGGGAUUUUCCAUAAAAUAUUUUUUUUCUUGAAUAUUUUUUUUUUCCAUACUGAUUUGAAGAACCAAACAGUCUGUUUGGUGAAAUAAGAUUCUAAAUUCUGAGAACAAAACUUCAGUUUUACAACUUCUAUAUUUGCGAAAGAGAAAAACUAUCAGAAAAAAGAAAACAAGUAAAAUGCAUGAAAGUUACCCCGACAAUAAACCCACUUUGAUCCAACCGCUUAACCUUAAAAAACAUGAUUCCUUUAGUUUGUAUUAUGUCCUUUUAAUGACAAAUUUUGAGUUCACCGCUUGCUCUAAUAAAAAUAUAGCCACAUGAAUUACGUGCGAUACUCUAAUUGACCUGCGAAUAAUGCUAUCUGUACACUCCAUUUGGGGUACACAUAUUACACUUUUCAAAUGCGAGAGUCAAAACUUUUUCUUUUUAGGAAAAAUUUCAAAAACCCCCCUGUGGUUUCGUAGUUUCUCACUUUGCCCCCCCUGUGGUUUAAAAUGUAUCAAUUUGCCUCCCUGUGGUUUCUUUUUUCUCUUUUUCUUAUCAAUUUCAUUAUUUUUUUUCUUAAAUCAGUGAUAAAGUUAAAAUUAAAGGGUACUAAAAUGAAUAUUUAAUAAAUCUAGAUGGGUAUCUGAAGUUUUUUGUAUAUAAUUUAAUGAAAUAUUAACGAAAAAGCUACCGAAAAGAUAAAAACGAAACCACAUGGGGGCAAUUUGAUACAUUUUAAACCACAGGGGGGCAAAGUGAGAAACUACGAAACCACAGGAGGGUUUUUUUGAAGUUUUCCUUUUUAUAAUACUAAAAUCUAAUAGUUCUUAAACAUAAAGUUGGAGGGUAUAAAAUAUACAUUUCUUUUUGGGAUACACACCUGUCAUUUUUCGUAACCUGCUUAAAAUAUAAGUCAUCCAAAAUCUGAAGUAACAAAAUUAUCAAGUGAUCAAAAACUUCUAAAACUUUGACAAUCAGAUCAAAAUAGUCAUAAUUUGAGGUAUCCAUAUAGUGUCUACCAUUUUUUUCUUAGCUCUCUACAAUACUUUUUCCCAUAGAAAUAUAUUGAGUAACACUGCAACUCACAGCAAGGCCAAUAAAGAGAGCAUUUAUAUGUAUAGAUAUGGGACUUUUGCUUUAUAUAUCUCUCACACUACUGAUCAAAAUUUUUAAAUUUAAAUUAAAAUUACUAAAAUACCCUUCUAAAUUUCGAGUCCUAUUAGUAAAUCCUAGAAAUUUGAGAAUAUUUGAAAAAAAAAAAUUUAAAAAAUAAAUAAGGGUACGUUAAUCAACCAAACAUAUUUUAGAUAUUUUUAAAAUUUUUGAAUGGCACAUUAGAUAUUAUUCCAUAUAUAUAUAUAUAUAUAUAUGCACUAGACCAGUGAUGCUACUGGUACACCCCAAUAUAAGAUGUACAUCUUACACCCACUUUAUCCAAUGAUUAUUAAUUAUCUACUUGUGACUUGUCCCCUCAAUUUUUUUUUAAUUUUUAUUAAAAAUUAUUUAGAUUUUUGUGAAUUCUAAAAUGAGAGUGUAAUAACCUAAACCCCCUUUGGGACUAGACAAGAAGAAUUUCUCUUACCAGACUGGGAAAUGAAGUCGGAGAUGGUUUCACUGUAGCCGCCGACUUCUGCAGUUGCAACGGCUCCCUGAUGAGCUGUAUUACUACUGUCUUCUCCAUCACCCUUCCUCAGUACAACUUCUCUCUUUCUCCCCAACAUACCUGCAGCUGCAAGACGACGAUGACGACGACGACGACGACGAUGAUUCUUUUCUUUCUUAAUUCCCUUUCUCCUUCCACUUCUGCAACUUGAGCUACUGUGUAUCUACUUAUGCAAAUUAGUUGUAAUGUUUUGGUUAGUUAUUGUUAUUAUUAUUAUAUGUAUAGGGGUUAUUUUUUUGUGUUGGAGGAGGGGAUAGCAUUUUUAUGAGCAGAAGAGGAGGUAGUGUUCAAAAAGUUUGGGUCGUGGUCAAGUUCAACCUGGCGACUUUGACCGGAUUUAAAAAAAAAAAAAAGAAUAGCCGCCAUGGAAGUAGCAGUAUGAUGAUGAUGACGACGACGACGAAGAAGAAGAAGAAGACGACGACGACGACCAAAUGGGCUCAGAUUCCCUUUUUUAAUUCCGAUGGUUUCAUAUUUUUUUAUUUUAAUAUUCUAUAAUUUAAAAUACAAUAAUUUAGUAUCUGUGGUUUUAUUUUUCUCUUUUUAUUAUCUUUCCCGCUAUUUUUUUUUUGUUAAAUAAGUAACAAAGUUAAAACUAAAAGGUACUAAAGUGAAUAUUCGAGAAAUCUAAGUGAGAUAUUUAAAGUUUUUUUGUAUAUAAUUUAACUAAAUGUUAACGGAGGAGCUGACGAAAAAAAUGAAAUCAUAAAUCACUAAAUUGAUACACUUUAAAUCACAUGGAUAGUAUUUAGAGUUUACCUUCUUUUUUUUUUUUUUGUAUUAAGCUCACUCUCUUGGUGAGAUCACCUGUUGUGGGAUCUCGUUAAUGUUGUUGAGAACAUAAUUUAAGGAAUGAUAUCUAAUAUAAUAUAAUAUACCUUUUAGAAAUUCAAAACUAUCUAAUAUAUUCCUGACUGACCAAAAUGUCAUUAUCGAUUUUCAAAAAUCUCUUCAAAUAUCUCCAAACUUUUUAAGGGUUUACUAAUGGAAUUUAGGGUUGAACUAAAAAUCGAGUAGUAGUGGGGAAUAAAGGAGCUGAAGCCUCUUUUUUUUUUUUUNUUUCUUUUGAGAGAGAAAGGUAGCAUGUUACUCGCUUCGUUUAUUUUUUAAAAAAUAAAUUUAGUUGAAAAUAUGAAGCAACUAGGGCAUCGAAUUUAGAACCUCAAGUAUCAACUAUCAAGUACUUUGCCACUUGUACUAGGGACAGUCGGUUAAAGCCUCUAACAUUAGAGGGGCGUUUCUUUAUAUACCCUUUAUUACUAUUAAAGAUUUUUAAAUUUGCCUUCCAAUACUCAAAAUAUCCUUCUAAAGUUCCAUCUCAUUAGUAAACUCUAAAGAGAAAAAAAAUUAUUUGAGGAAAUUUUUUUAAAUCAACAAGGAUGCUUUACUAGCCCAAGAAUAAAUAAAAUAUUUUAAAAUUUUGAAGAGUAUAUUAGAUAUUAUAUUUAUUUUUAUUUUACUCUUCUCAAUAUCAAAAACGUAUGCACGCCACUUUUUCUAAAAAUAAUAAUAAUAAAUACAAAUCUUUGAAUGGUCGGAGUAAUAAGAAAAAAUCUGAAAUGGGAUACGUCGAUACUGACCCAUCACACUCUGACUUUACACAGAAAAUGUAUGUGUAAUAGUAGUGUAGAGCUAUCCAAAUCGUAGAGAAUUUGAUUUUUUUUUAUUUUUUUGAUAUUUGGAUCAAGAAUUAUACUCCAAGAAUUGAAUAGUAUCCUAGAGUUGAGUGAUCCUCACAGGAUAAUAAUAUUAAUUCAAAGAUUAAAAAUAAUUAAAAAAACUGUUCUAAGAGUCAAAAAGUCAGAAACAUCAGAUUUUCUAUUCUUUCGAUGGUAUAGUAACUCUACUCGUAAUAGUACGUGGAAAAUUGGAAAAUAAGCUACUGUCCAGUAACUGAACAAAAAUGAAAUAAUUCAAUCGAGAAAGACUUAUUAAAAUAUGGGCUUUUUAAUAAGUAUUAAGGCUUUAUUUAGGAUUACAAAAAAAUUACAUUAAAUAUGGUAAAAAAGUACCAUGAUUUUUUUUUUUUAUUUUGGUGUAUAAUAACAAACUGUGCAUAUCAUAAUGAGUCGAUUACGAUAUAUUUUCUAUGGUCUUUUGGAAAAUAGAAAAGUAUAUUUUUAUAUACUUACUCUCAAGCCUUGGAAAAAAAAAAAAAAAAAAAGAAUUAGGACACCGAAGCUCUUGAAAUUUGGCUGGAUUAUACUUGUCCCUCGUGAAGUUGAAAACAUUGGAAAGUUAUACCUACAUAUAUAUAUAUUACAUAGAAGUAAAUAAUAAGUUAUAGGUAUAUAAAUUAAAUAUGAUGUGAUAUUAUAUAUUUUUCACUUUGUCAUUAUCAGCUAUUUGAGCCCAAAUUUUCUCAGUAAUUAGCAUUUUUAUGAGAAAAAUAAAGAACUCGAAUAUAUCUAAAUAUAUACAUCUCCGCAUUCAAAAAAAAGAAACAAGUAAACAUAAGCUUUUAAAUGGCAAGUGACUAAAAAGGCUUUCAGAAUGUGAUUGAUAAUACGACAAUGAACAAAGUGUCGCAUUACUAGCAUGUCAGUAACACAUCAAUACUCAAUCAGUAAAUUUAAUUUCAACAAUCUAAAAAUUUUGGGUCAAAAAAAUAUAUAUAACAAGGCAUACCCGGCUCAUAAUUUGAGGAUCAAAAACAUAAUUUAGUACAUAUAAUAAUUUUAGGCAAUGGUUUCUCAUUCCUGUAACAUGCAUUGCAGGAGGAAAAUAAAAAAAAAAAGGGGUAAAAACUUCAAUAUCCACCCCUCGGUUUCGCAUUUUUUCACUUUAGUACCCUGUAGUUUAAAUGCAUCAAUUUAGUACUCUGUGGUUUCAUUUUUUUCUUUUCGUCGGCUUCUCUGUUAAUAUUUCGUUAAAUUAAAUACAAAAAACUUCAAAUACCCUACAUACGUUUAUCGAAUAUUUACUUUAGUAUCCUUUAGUUUUAGCUUUAUCGCUCAUUUUUUUUUCCUCCAUUAAUAUUUCGUUAAAUUAUAUACAAAAAACUUCAGAUAUCCUACCUAGGUUUAUCGAAUAUUCAUUUUAGUACUCUUUAGUUUUAACUUCGUCACCGAUUUAACGAAAUAAAUUCAUGAAAUGAAUAAUAAAAAGAGAAAAAUGAAACCACAUGGUACUAACUUGAUAUACUUUAAACUACAUGGUACUAAAGUGAGAAAGUGCGAAACCACAUGGGCUAACUUGAUACACUUUAAACCACAUAAUACUAAAGUGAGAAAGUGUGAAACCAUAGGGGGUAUUUGAAGUUUAUCCUAAAAAAAAAAAAAAGCUAGGAUUUAAUAAAGCUUUAAAGCUUAUUAUAGUAAUCACGAAACUAUGAGUGAAAUCAAGAGGAUAAGUACUCAAUUGGAUUUGCCAAAAAACAACAGAGAAAAAUCACGAGAAUACAUAGGGAACCAAUUAAAACGCAGUAGAAACAAUGACAACAAAGUUGAUGGUCACAAGAACUGCACCAUGAUUCAACAAAGCGACCAGUUACCAUUCAAAGGAGGAAAAAAAAAAUGUAUGCCGCAGAGACACUGCCAAAACUUACCAGCAAAAAUAGACUACUACUUGUAGCCAGAGAGAGAGAGAGAGAGUUAAGUGAAUCAAUGGCGUCGACACGCAACUUCAACAUCACGAUGUGGAAGAUAAUCUGAAGAAGACACGUGAGUUUUAUUAUAAAACUAUGAAUUGUACUAUAUUAAUACAUAUUAUUUAUAUUUAGAUAUUUUCUUUUCACCAUUCUUUACCAUUCCAUGAAAUUAACCAAACACAAUUUCAGUUAUUCCUGAGAAUAGCAGCAUUACAAACCAAAUAUAAUUUUACUUCUAUUCCUGAUUAUUUAGAAAUAGUAAGCUAUUCUAAAUAUAAAAAAAUUUAUCCCGCUGUUCGUUAUCCCCUAGCUCCGAAAGCGGGAAUCCUAGAAUGUGAAAAACAUCUUAUACAGCAAUGUCAAAUCUCCCUAUCCUCUAUGUCACUUUUCCUCGGUUAGUCAGUCUGUUUACUCUCCCAUGCAGCAAAACAUCUACUUUACAUUGUUCUAUUUGUCUGUUCUGUACUGUCUGUCACCUAAACUAUUCACUAUAUACUCCUGAGGUAAGGAACUUGGCAGAGUUUUCUAUAAUAGAGAUAUCAAUAAUGUACUAACUGAAUUUCCUGAGAAACAACAAGUAAGAUUGUUUGUGUCUCAAGACCAUCUUGCUUCCAAGCAUGCAGAAUUGAUGGACCUAACCCAGAUGUCACCACAUAUCCAUCAAAUCCCAUUAUGCUAUUACAAUAUGAGUUAUUAUUUUACCACCAUAUCAUUAGGAUUGUCCAGUGGAUGCUGCUGCUUUUUCCUGCGUAUUGGUAGCAUAAAACUUUCAAUAUCCUUUAUCAACUGAGUCUUCCUCGCGUAACCAAAUGUAUUAGACAGAAAUGACUUAUUGUUUUAGAUCGAUGGCUCGGAGAAACCUGCAAACUGGGUGUCUACAUAACUGAGGAAGUAGCAUAGGCUAAUAUGCUAUUAAGCGCCAUCUAUCUAAUUCGGCAUAUUUUUGAAGAAUGUAUCUCUUCUAACAGCUUAUGUUGCCAUCCUCAAACUCUCAAAACAUAGCAUGAUAAUGAUGAGUAAUUUUACCAUAUGAGAAUAUUGUUAGAAUAAGAUGAUAAAGGAUGGAUAAAGAAAGAGUGAAGAGGGAGAGAGGGAGAAAAGGAAGCUAGUUAUUUGGAUCCCACGGUGAUAUAGAAAAAACUAAUUAUGUCCUGCAAUUAGAUAAAAUAGUGAUGACUAAUUACCAGAUGAAGAUAGUGCAUACAAGGUGUUAAAGUACGAUUACGAGGAGAAGGAAAGAUGUAAAGGAUAAGAGAGCGACAACGAUGGAAGAGAGGGAUAACAAUGCAAAAGAUUACGUCCCGUAAAGAUGUAGGACAAACCAGAGAUGUCCAACAAAUUAGAAUUAAGAAAAAUAGAAUAUCUGCAGAACAUACCAUGUAAAUCAGAAAAAAAAAAGAAAUUACAUAAAUAAAAACACCCCAGCCAAUUCAAAAGGUGACUGAAAUCUUUGUCAAGUCAGCUUUGCAAUAGAAGUGGCAAUCUUCAUGCAAGUAAACAUAUGAACAGUAAACCUAAAACAGUCAGCCAACAGCACAGAACUACAAAGAUGUUGGAGGCGUCCAACGUUAUUUACUACGAAUUGUAGCAAGACAUGAAACCACCGAGAAGGACAAAUGUUUCAACAUGGUAUUUUAUUUGCAGUUGCAACUGACUACUCUUUACGAUAAAAACAUCAAAACUGCAUCAUAUAAUUUAAAUACACUAAUAACACAAAUGUGUAGUAUCAGAUUUUAACAAUCAUUGAUAUUUGCAUCAAACUUAUUGUUACUGAAUGACUAUAUUUCGAACAACAUACAGCUUAGAAGGUGUAAUAUCAUUGGCACGAGGAAUUGGCAAUGCCAACAGGAUAUAGACAAUGGUUCCCACCUACCAACUGCAGUCUCGCAAUAAUAGGGGAAACCACAUAAAAGGGACAAUAAGAGGAAACAAAAUUAUCAUUACCUAUACAUUCUUUUUCUUUUUGCUGGGUAUCACAAACUGGAUGAACUAUAAUCUGAUCGCUCACUUGUUAACAUGUCAAAACUCGGAGUUCGGGGAUGUAGGCUUUGCAAGCACCUAAAGAAAAGACAAAAAUGGAAAUUAUGAACCUAUAAUGAGAUGCAUGAAAACAAAUCAUAAGUACAUUCAAGUGAAAAUUCUAGUACUUCUGCAAAGCGUGUUUGGCGGUGCUGUGGUUUUGGUGGCUGAUUAGUCAUUGCACGCAAAGCUUGUUUCUUUUGUUGGACUUGAAUACCAAAAACUGACUGUGCAGGUGGUUUCUUUGAUGAAACAGAAGGUAAGGUGCGAGAAAGCCAGGACUCCGAAGGUGAUUUGGGCAACGGAAGCGGAAGAACGGAUUGCACGGGUUUAAAGUUCUUUUUGAUGAGAUCUUCUCCUUUAGACUGGAAUGGACCAUCACUAAUUUUAUUGCACUUAAAAGUUUCACGGCCAUUUAUCUCUCCAGGGUCUGACACUGCCAAGGUAGUCGGUAAGCCACGUUCAUCCCUGUUACGAGCUUCUAUAAUAGAACUUUCUUUUAUCUUUCGACUUACUUCCUCAAUCUCAAAAUCCUUCUCCCCUGAUUCUAUCCUCACCUUUGGAUCUGCAUCAGGCACAUCCACAGAGUCAACCUCAACACCUUUCUCUGCUGCAGGGCUCAUCGAGCCUGAGCCUGACCCCUGCUGACUGCUAUUCUGUGGUGUCGUAUCCCAACAGUCCUCACCAUCUUUCUCGCCUAAAUCAGAGCAAUCGCCCUUACUACUCUUCCGGUCUCGAUUUGGGACUCCAAGCAAACCUUUCCCCUCAUGAAAUGGUGAUUCACGAGCCUCAUUCCGUAAGGGCGAACCUUCUCCAGUUGACCUAUGAAAUGGAGAAGACCCAUCUGCUGUUUGGGAAUCACUCCAGUAAGUAAGCUGGUUUGAAUCAUUAGUCAAUUUACUCCUUCCAUCCUCACCUCGAGAUAGAUACUUCUGCCCCAAUUUGUGCUUAUAAACAGCUUCCCAUGAAUGCUAUGCAUAUGGAACAAAGCAACAAAGUUUGAAUCAAUAACAAUAAUUCAAAAGAAGAAAAGCUAAAAACAUGCAAACCUUACCAAAACUAUAGUACAUUUGGAAAUGGUUACUUGAGCUCUUAACAUUUUGAAUUUCCUUCCUAAGACUACAUUAAGCAUCUCUGUCAUAACCAGUGAUUGUUUUAAGGCCUCGUUUGGAUGUCAGAAAAAAUUAUCCACUUAUCAUUUAUUCAGUACAAAGAUUUUCUUUGUAAGGGGAAGGUAGGAAGUUAACUUUUGCUCCUUGAAAGGCCUUGGCAUCUAUGAUUUGGUAGGAAUGCAUAUUUCACCUAUGAGCUGAUUUAUCUUUAUUCUGAAAAUGACUCAAAUGCUGAAUAUGCUAUUCCAUUCUAGACAUUUGACCACACUCCUGACUUCCAAUCAUAAUAAAAAAUACUCAUACCGGAUAGGGUAUCACUGGAUAACUUAUUCCGACAUCCAAACAUGGCCUUAGUUUUUUCUAUGGCAUGGUAUGUGACUAAUAUAAUCUAAUGAAAUUUUCUGUCACUUGAUAGAAUACUCUAUUUUUUUGACAGAAACAGCUAAAAGUUCCAUCAAAAUUUGACGGAGUUUCCUCUAAUAAGAAAUCAUGGAACUUCAGGCAGUUAAAUCAAAAGUGUUAUAAGGUUAAUGAAUUCAUUUCAGAAUGUGCCAUAGUUCAAGGUCCUGAAAAAGGGUAGAAGCUUCCAAUUACCUCAUCUCCAGCUUGGCUGAGAGUAGCAUUAUGUGAGCUCCUGAUCAAUGGGCCGGCGCUCCUUCUAGCAUGUGGUGGGGGCGGCGGUCGGCCACGGACCUUCAAUGCGGGAACUGGAUUUAGAAGACAAAGCGAGCUCUUCAGACAGAAUUUCGGAAGAAACCCACAACCGCUGGAAGGAAAAUGCCGCGCAUCAUAAUCGUCAUCUUCCUCCUCUUCCUCAUCAUUCUCAUAGCUCUCCUCUCCUUCUGGCGGCAAUGGUGGCCGCGAAUACUGCAAGUUACUAUUAUAAUUAGGCGUAUGCUGGAAGGGAAGGGGAACCGGCGGCCUCCGCCGGUGAUCUCUGGUCACAACCCUCUCCGGCUGCUUAGGGUUAGCUGCUUUACGAAAAGUGUACUGCGGAGAUCCCGACGCCACGGCUUGGGCGGCGGGCAGGAACCUCCCCAUCAUGAAAUCGCGCGCCAGCAGGUCCUUCGCAAAGCUCUCGCGAGGAGGAUCGGAAGAAGAGUGGGGCAUGCCACUCAGGCCGCUCAUGCUGCAGUUCAUGAAGAAGGACUCUGUUCGCGAUAACGUGUCGCGCGCAUCCGAGAACACAUCAUCGUCAUCGUCAUCAUCACCACCACUAUCACCAUCACCAUCACCAUCUUUCUUACUAUCGGCAUGAAGAGUGCAAUUGUUUGACUCAAUUCUCGGCUGUUCCGGUGGCGGCGGUGGUUGAUCAGUCAUUUCGUCGAACACCUUGUGCGCGCUACUCUCCGCCGGCUCGGGCGAAGCCGUCACCGCCUCAGCAUCGGGAGGCAGCGUCGGAGGCGUGGGGGUGGCCGCGCGGCGGGCGCGGCCGCUGCCGCCGCGCCGGGCCCGUCCUUGGGCUGGCCCGGGCGCUGCUCCCACACGAAGGGGACGACGCCGGGGUUCCGCACCGGCCCCGAUUUCAACUCCGACAUGUACGUCGGAAGCGGCGAUCUCCGCACGCCGUUCGAAGCCGCCGCCGCCGCCGCCGCCGCCAACUCAGCCGCCGCGGGUGGCGGCGCCGCCGCGCCGCUGCCGGAGAAGCGGCGGACGGAGAGGAGCGGGGCGUCGAAAUCGAGGCGCUUGUCCUCCAUCAGGCUCCCCAGCAUCGUCCCCGUCGGAUUCCGAACCCUAGAUCGAACCCAGAUCAACCAAAUCAAGCAAAUCGAAUGCGAAAAAACAAGGUGGAAUCAACGAUAUCUCCCGUGAGAUCGGGUAAAGAUGCAGCAAACGAUCGGCUUUUGAUCGAUUUUGGUGAUGCGAUCGGGGUUAGUGGGGAUUGUUUAGGAACGAAGCGAGCUUCGUCGUUCUCUCUCUAGGAAUUUAGAGAGAGAGAGAGAGAGAGAGAGAGAGAGAGGAGAGUGGAGGGAUCUAUACGUCGGAGGUGUGAGAGUGAGUGCCCGACUGUUACACCAAAUGAGCAUCUUUUUUCUGUGUACCCGUGAUAUAUCACUGUUACACGUAGACUUCUAUCCCCAUGUAGCGUCAAAGUAGGGGAGACAAUUCCGCUCGUGCUCAUAUUCGACUCGAAACGAGUUCGAGAUCGAAUUAUUUAUUUAGUAAACGUGCUAAACACGAGUUGAAUUUUUUAGCUCAUUUUAUAAAUAAGCCGAAUACGAGUUGGAGUCAGUUCGCUCGUACUUGACUCGAUAACAGCUCAAACACACAUAUUUUAUAUAUUUAUAUAAUUUACUUAAUUUAUAUUUAUAUAUAAAUAAAUAAUUAUAUAUAACAUAUAUUUUUAUUAUUUAAUUUUUAGUAAAAUAAAAAUAUAAAUGGGAGCUCAAUUAUAAAAAAAAAUUUAUUUAUAUAUAAAUAUAAAUUAAGUAAAUUAUAUAAAUAUAANAGUAAACAAGCCGAACAUGAGUUGAAUUUUUCAGUUCAUUUAAUAAACGAGCCGAAUACGAUCUCAAUAAUAACUCGAAUACAUAUAUUUUAUAUUUAUAUAUAUAAAUAACAUAUAUUUUUAUUAUUUAAUUUUUAGUAAAAUAAAAAUAUAAAUGGGAGCUCAAUUAUAAAAAAAAAUUUAUUUAUAUAUAAAGUUUUAACUAUUAGAUCAAAAUCUAAUGGAUAAAAUUUUAUAAAUUUUAUAUAUAUAUAUAUCCAAUUUAAUUUUUUUAAUUUAUUUUUUUAACUUUUUGUUCGUUGGUCAGCUUGUGAGUUAGCUCGUGUCGAGCCGAAAUGAAUUUUUUGGCUCGAUACUUUAACGAGCCAGCUCGUGUUUAACUCGUUUAUUAAACGGGCCAAGCACGAGCUGACCCAGCUCGUUCGUGUUCAGCUCAUUAACACCCCUACGUCAAAGUGCAAAUUUCACCACUAGUUCCUAUGCUUUCAGCGAUUUAGUAUUUGACCUUAUACAUCUGGAAUUUAUUUGAAUGACGAAAUAAACUAUCCAAUAAUAAUUUAUUCUACAUAACCGACCGUCCCUAGAGCAAGUGGCAAAGAACUUGGUGGUUGGUAUUCAAGACCCAAGUUUGAAUCUUAGUUGAUUCACAUUUUCAGCUAAGUUUAUUUCUAAAUAAAAUAAACGAAGCAGGUAGCGUGCUACCUAUCUCUAAAAAAAAAACAUAGUAUACUCUUACUAGCCAAAUAAUUUAUUUUAUUUUAAAAAAUAAUUUAAUGAACCAAUCAGAUACUUAUUUAAUAAAAAAAAUUUUAUAUAGGAUUUGGCACAUACAAACAGGAUCUUUAAGUUUGCCAUUUAAAACUCUAAAAUUUGAAAUUAUUUAAAUAGCUCGUAUUCAUAUUUCUUAUUAGGCUAAAAUAUAGGAAAAAGACAUUUGUUUUUUACUCUUUUUUCUUGGGCUUUUAAAAAUUUAUAUUUUAUUUUCUGAAAAUUUUAAGUGAAUGCAUUUAGCUCCUUAAUGUUAUUAACGUUCUAUCACUAUUAUGUCUAUUUCUUAAAAUUUAUAACUGAAUAUACCGAAAAUAUCCUUAAAAUAAGUGAAAUUAUAUUAAAAAUAAUUUUUUCUUAGAACAAGUAAGGACAGUUUAGUUGUUUCAUUUUCUCUGUUAACAUCGUAGCUUUCUGAAAUAUUUCUAAAAUAUAAGAAUAAAAAUUUUUCGCAUUUUAGCGUUAUUAAGAUAAAAUAUUAUCUAUAUCCACCACAUCGCUAUAUUUAUAUGGCAUAUUUUCAUCAAACACUGAUAUUAGAUCUUAUAUUUUAAUUUUAUCAAUUAGGUGCCUAUAGUUUUGCAAUUCUAAAAAAUGCCCAACGGAAAAUGUCGACCUUGAAAAGUUUUAGCACCAAAAUAAAAGUUACCUGUGCUAGCAGUGCUAGGCGUGGCAAUCCAGCCUGUUAUUUGCGAGCCAGCUCGUGUUCGGCUCAAAAUGAGCUCGAAAUCAAACUGCUUAUUUAGUAAACAAGCCGAACAUGAGUUGAAUUUUUCAGUUCAUUUAAUAAACGAGCCGAAUACGAUCUCAAUAAUAACUCGAAUACAUAUAUUUUAUAUUUAUAUAUAUAAAUAAUAUAAAUUUUUAUUAUUUGAUUUUUAGUCCAAUCUAAAUAUAAAGUCCAACUCAAUUAUAAAAAGGUUCAUUUAUGUGUAAAGUUUGAAGGAAAAACUCCAAAAACCCUCCCGUGGUUUCGUAGUUUCUCACUUUGCCCCCCUGUGGUUUAAAAUGUAUCAAUUUGCCCCCAUGUGAUUUCUUUUUUCCCUUUUUCUUAUCAAUUUUAUUAUUUUUUUUUCUUAAAUCAGUGAUAAAGUUAAAAUUAAAGGGUACUAAAGUAAAUAUUUGAUAAAUCUAGAUGAGUAUCUGAAGUUUUUUAUAUAUAAUUUAAUAAAAUAUUAACGAAAAAGAUACCGAAAAGAUAAAAACGAAACCACAGAGGGGCAGUUUGAUAUAUUUUAAAUCAUAGGGGGGCAAAGUGAAAAACUACGAAACCACAGGGGGGGGUUUUUUAAGUUUUCCCAAGUUUUAACCAUUAGAUCAAAGUCCAAUCGGUAAGAUCUCAAAAAUUUAUAUCCUAUAUAUAUCAUUUCUAACCUUUUAACUUAUUGUCCGUGAGUCAGCUCGUGUUCAGCUCGUUAAUAAGCGAGCCGAACAAAAGCUGAAUUUUCAACUCAAUACUUUCAUCAGCCAGCUCGAGGUCGGCUUGCUUAUGAAACGAACUGAAAACGAGCCGAACUCAACUCGCUCGUGUUUAGCUCGUUGACACCCCUAAGUAGUGCUCUUAAUAAAAUAAUAGCUAUAAAAAAAAAUAGAAAGAAAAUAAAAUAAGCUUAUGGAUGAGGUGUCUGAAAGUGGGCUUCUACCUGAAACUUUUUAUGUUUUCAGUGGACUGUUGACCUUGACUGCUAAAAAAUGGAAUCCUACCUAACUGAAUUUCUAGGCCACUAAUCCUACAAAAUUUUAUAAAUAUAAAAUAUCUGUAUUCAAAAUGUUUACUGUAAAAUUAGAUUUAAGCGGUGAAUAAUUUAUCGUUUUCAGAAAGCAAUACUUGUACUAAACUUAUAUAUUUUCUACAUUCGAGCCCUAAAAAUUGUAUAACAUUAAAUAAAAAAUAAUUUAAAAACGGUGAUCAUUUACCGUACAAGACUAAUUUUAAAUAAUUUUUUAAAUAACUAUUUUUAUAAUUUAAUAUUUUUUAAGUUUAUUAAUGGAAAAAAAAACCAACCUAACACCGAUGGACAAGAUUACUAUAUUAGUAGGGGUGAAAACAUAUCGGAUAUGAACGGAUAUUUGAUGAAACCAUAUCCAACUCCCUUUUUUUCUUUUUUUGAAAUGAAUUCACAUACAAAAUAUGUCUGGAAAGUUAAAUUUUUAUUACUAUAUUCACUAAAAAUAGACUCGGAUACAAUCGAAUAUUUCUUUAGAUUCAAAUAUAGAUUGGAAAUGUAUUUAGAUAUUAUUUGAAUGGUAAUAUACAUGACUAAUAUGCACAUAUAAAUAUGAACUAAAAUUACCAACAAUGCAACUAAAGUUUCAUAUUUAUAUCCAAAUUUCUAUAUAUCUAUAUUUAAUUGAAUAAAAUAUAUGAUUUGACAAGCACAAAUGCUAUUUUUAUAUAAAACUUAUAAUAAAAUAAACAAAGCGCACAAAGAAUUAUUUUAUUUUUCUACAAUAUAUUUUAUAUUUUCACAAAAAGCAAUCAAACAACUCCUUAUUUCACCAUAAGUUCUAUUAAACCACCUUUUAUCUCCCAAAAAAAAACAAUAUUUACUCCUUAUCUCCCCACAUAUCAAUCAAAUAAUUUAAAUAGUUAUUUUAUUUUUACAUAUCUAAAAAAUUGAAAACACAAUAUUAAAGCAGGAGAAUGAGAUAUUUGGAUCAAGGGUUUAGAAAAAUAUAAUAUUGUAAUAUAAUUUAAUAUUAUAAAAUAUAAUACUAUUAAAAGAUUCGGAUAUUCAUAUUUAUAUCCAUUUUUUCGUAUAUUUGAAUAAUUUUUAUUUUCUAGAACCAUGCAUAUAUGUGUCCAUAUCCCAUAGAAUCCCGAUAUUUUCUAUCCAAAUAUUAAUAAUAUUAAAUUAGAUAUAAAUGCAACAGUUAUAAUUACGUAUAUUUUGUUUAGUUAAAUAGAAUAGAAAGUGCAGCACUUUUAAGUAUUUUGUUUGAUUAUAUAUGUUGACAAGUGCAUUUAUAGAAUUUUAUUAUUUUAUAGAUAGAAUGAUGAGUUAAAUUCAAAUGCGUAAAAUCAAACGAUAUAUUUGAAUUUGUAUGCAAUUACAACUAUAGUAUAGUUACAAUUAUAUACAAUCAAAGAGGACCUUAAUUAAAAAGAUGGUCAAUGAAUGAUGAUGUUGUAAGAUGUAUGCUCAAAUUUAAUGGGUAAACAAUUAAUGGGCGACAAAAAAAGGGAAGUUAAACUUACCUUCAAAGGUUAAAACAAACACCCUUUUUGAUUAAAAAAAAAAAAAAAAAGUAAGCUCAAUUUAGAGAAUCUGCUUCAACCACACUCAUCAACCACUGAGAAUGGAUAAAGUAGAUCUUAAAAAAUAAUAAUAAUGGUAUUAUUAACUGGUUGACCAUAAUUAUUUUAGUUUUUAUUUACCAUUAAUUUAAGUUUUUAAUAUUUAUAAAAUUAGCAAAUUUCUAAUCUUAUUGACUAUAAUUAUUAAGUAAAAAUAUGAAAUAUAUAUAUUGUAAUCAAUUAAUUGCUAAAAAUAAAUCUAGUAGUAAUCCUAGCACUCCUAACACUCCUCUUCUAAUCCUACAUUGUAAAUAAAAAAAAAAAGAAAAAUAGGCUAUCAGGUACCACAACAACCUUUGUCUUUAGAUAUAAAUCCUUUUUCUUUUGUUUAUUGAUGUGAAGAAGAUUUUGGAUCCUAACCAAUUUGUCUAAUAUAUAUAUAUAUAUAUUCCUAAUAAGGUCCUAUUUGUAUUGCGAUUCAUUUAAUAAUAGCAGGCAAAACAGAAUUGGGGCAAAAACGACAAAAAAAAAUAUAUAUCAUACUAGCUAAUUACGAUAAACAGAUCAUAAUAUUACAUACAAAAAUGAAAAUAAUAUUUUUUGUCGUUUUUUCUCGUCACACGUAACGUAAUUUCUCUCGUAAUCACAAACAAAGCCUAAAUCAGUUAGAUUUGGACAAUCUCCAUGGAACAAAUCAAGAAUUAAGCUAACUUAGGUGAGAGAGAAAGCCAAUGUGGUGUUUUGUGUGGUCACCACAAUUGUUACCUAAUGCUAUUAAAGAGCUAGCUACCAUGCAAUGCAUUUAUGCAUUUUGUUUCCCAACCAAAGGAGAGAAGAACAAGAUUGGCACUAUCCUGAAGCCUGUGUGGCAAGUUGAAAUUUAGCAAUCAAAUGGUUCAUGUGUUGGCAAUCUGAUACGCGCUUUAAUACUAAAUUUUGAGAAUUCGCAAUUCACUUUGAUGCCAACUGCUAUAAAUUCGGUACUCGGUCUAGUAUCUGUCGUUGAGAUUGUGCAACGAAAUUAUGAAAUCAAAUUUUUAUCAUAAAUAUGUUUCUUCAGCAAAAGCUAGGGGUGUAAACGCACGAAACAGCUGGCUCGUUAACAGAUAUCGAGCCGAAAAAUUUAGCUCGUGUUCGGCUCGUUAUUAACGAGCCGAACACAGAUGGCUACGAGCUGGCCAGCGAAUAAUAAAUUUUAAAAAAUAUUAGAUUAAAUAUAUAUAAAAAAUUAAUUUAUAAAAUCUAUCUAUUAGACUUUGAUCUAACAGUGCAAACUUUAUAUAUAAAUGAGUUUUUUAUAAUUAAGCUCGAGUAUAUAUUUUAUUUUGCUAAAAUUUAAAUAAUAAAUAUAUAUUAUAUAUAAUUAUUUAUUAUAUAUAAAAAUAUAAAUUAAUAUAAAUUAUAUAAAAUAUUAAAUAUAUGUUAUCGAGCUGUUAUCGAGCCGACACGAGCAGAGCUGACCCAGCCUCGUGUUCGGCCUUUUAUUAAACGAGCUAAAAAUCCAGCUCGUGUUUCGCUUUACUAAACGAGUGAGCCGAUCUCGAGUCUCAUUUCGAGCCGAACACGAUGCUGCUCUGCGAACAGCGAGCUGAUUGCAUCCCUAGCAAAAGCUGAUCAAAAGAAGAAUUAUAUAUAUAUAUUUUAAUAUAAAAUAGCUUCAAUCUAAACUAUCUUUCUGAAUCACUUUCAUCCUUCUAUCUUCUUCUAUAAAUUCUAGAAGACUUAUCUUUUUUUCCGCCAUGCAUGCGUAGCCAACUCUCUCUCAAAUUUGGACCACCACCGGUUAGCCAUACACCACCCAAGUACAUCAAUAGCUAUUCAAAUCCAACUAGGAUUCAACUAUAGAUUUAUCCAAAUCCUGACAAUGUACAUGUACAAUAGUCGGAUAAAUAAAAAAUAAAAAAAUAAAAAGAACUAGUAUUCAAAUGCCUCUGAUAUAAUCCUCUGCGACAUUAACUCUGAACGAGCGAUGCAUAGUUGUUGAAAAUUGAUGGAUCGUUCGCCAUGCGCUACCAAUACUGAUGUACGAAAACAGAAAAAUCGAACGGUGAGAGAAUAAAUACAGAAAGAAGGUACCAAAAUUUACACCUACGUGCACAGCGAGAGUAAGAAUAACAAACUCACGCCUUAUAUCUUCUCCGAAUCAAAACCAAGAAUCUUAUGAGGAAUCUCAUCUUUCUGUUGUUUUAUCAGAAAACUCAUCAUCAUAAAUAAGAAGACUAAAUUAGAGAAAUAUAUAAACCUCCGACCAAAUUCUAAAUGCCGUUGCUUUGAAGGAUCAGAACCGCUCAGACAACUAGUUAAGAACCACCACUUCGCUGCCGACCUCGAACAUGACGCCGCAUGAAAGUUGUCGAACCUCACGAGAUGCCUCUCUCUCUCUCUCUCUGCUUCACGAGGUUUGUGUUGGGCCGUAUGCUAAUUAAUUAGCUAGAUUUAAUUUCCUAAACUAAUCCAAUUCCAAGUCAACUCGAAUUAGGAGAGAGCCCAAGCCCGAGUCUAAUUAAAAAAUUAAUCUCAAAGCUCUACCUGGACCAAACAAAAAAAAAAGGGGCACAACUUAAACACGUAAGCGCGCGCACUAAUCUUGAGAUAUUUUUAAUUUUUUUAGGGCUUAAGAAUUUUGAAAUUGUACACUGUCACGGCCUGUUAAUAGAGAAGGCGAGAUCGGUACACAUUUCACGUGUCGCUUGUCAGACUCGCUCUCGCGGGAAAAAUUCUAAAAUGCACCACUUAUAUUACUGAUGUGGCACCUUUAAUGAAUUAAGAAGUUUUUCUAAAAUUUAUCGAUCCCAUCAUAAUUUUUUUAAAAAUAUUUUUAUUAUUUUUUAAAAAAUAAGAGAUAUGGUUUAAUUAAACUUUCUAUCAUAAUUUCUAUCAGUUUCCAUAUAUAUAUAUAUAUAUAUAUUCAAGCAUGAAUCAAAUAAGAGGUAAAUUAAACUUUUUGGUCCUCAAACUAUGAGGCGUGUAACACUUUAGUCCUCUAAUUUUAAAUAGUUGUAAUUUUUGAUUCGAACUAUAAGGCAGUGACACUUGUAAACCUCAAACUUUCUGAAUUGCUGCAAUCAAGUUUUACAACCGAAUUUUUUUUAAUACGAAUUAGUAAAUUAAUUACUAACAUAGAAGAGGCGCAAGAUUUUAAUUAUUGCUACAAUUCAGAAAUUUUGAGAACUAAAUUGUCACAUAUCUUCUAGUCCUGAGCCAAAAUAUGUUAUGAAUUAAAGUUUGAAAAUUAAUGUAUCACAUGCCUCAUGGUUCAGGUCAAUAAUUGCAAUAAUUAAAAUUCGGGGGCUAAAGUGUCACAAUGCUCGUAGUUUGAGGACGAAAAAUGUAAUUUACCCAUCAAACAAAUCUAUUUAUUCUACAUGCAUGUGGAAAUUCUGAGAAUGGUAAAGCUAGAAUGCUUCUAAAAAUAAACAAGGUUGUUUACUUUCGUGUUGUUUCCGCUAGGGAAUAUCCGACCAAACGAUCAAUAGUUUAAAUAUGAUCUUGGCUAUCUGAAUUUUCUAUAAAUUUUAUAAAUAUUUUUAAUAUCAUUUGUCAUGUGAUCAAGUGAUCUCAAAUUCAUCUAAGCCACUAAAAAUAGUCAAUUUUAAGACUAUUUGAAUAUUAAGAUAAAUAAUAUAGAAAAAUCAUGAAAUGUAGAAAAUUUAAAUAAUCUAGAUCAAAUUUAAUGAUGCCAAUCACCAUUUCGAAUGUCUCAUUUUUGAAAACGAUGCAAAACGAAUUAACUAAUGCUACAUGUACAUUUCUAGAUACCCAUCAUAAGGCCCAAAUUUUGGCUCGACUUAUUAUUAUUAUUAUUAUAUCACUUUGUCAAUAUCCGUGUUUUCAUUUUUUUCUCCUAACUUUUAAAAACAUAUAUUUUGCUCCCUUAAAAAUUGAGAAAUGUUCACUAUGAGUCUAUGACCCCCAGCGUUAAAAAUCUGUUAGGGUGCUGUUUAUGUCAUAUUAUUAUAUAUUUUUUAUACACAAAAUACUUUCGAAAUUCUCGUCUUAUAUGCGCCUCCUCACCGACGUCUUCAGCUGCGCUACCUCGCCCUCCUCCGCCACCUCGUCCUUGCGCACCCUCUAUCCGUGCCCACACACACACCCACGCCCUCGCCCUCCUCCGUCGCCUUGCCUUAGCCUACCUCUCCUUCCAUGCCCAUCCCGAUCUUCUUCCUACAAUUGCCGAAAUAGAGGGGUGACGAGUUUGCUGGAGGAGCGGGGGAGCAGGCGAAAAAAAUGGAGUCGGAGUUGGGGUCAAGGGAAGGGAGAAAGACAGAGAAGGAGAGGCUGCGAAUGAGCAAGAUUGGGGAGGAGACGAAGAGGAUGAGAGAUAAUUUGGUCAUUUGGUUAUCACAGUUAAGACCGUACUCUUCUGUGAAUAUUUUUUAUUUUUUAAGGAGGCAUAAUGUAGAUUUAUAAAUGAGAUAAGUGAAAAAUCAAAUUUUGCCCAGGGAUUUGCUGUAAUUUAGCCCUUUUUUUUUCUAUGAAGACCUAAAAGAUUUUUGUAAAUCCUAAAACUGAGAGCAUAUAAGAUUUACACCUAUAUAUAAGUAUACCGGCUAUAUUUUCCAAAAGAAAUGUCUAGUGUACUUCUCAAAGUAUUCUAACUUUAAUGUUGUGAGCAUGGCUAUUAUUGAGAGAGUUAUUUGCAAGAUUAACAACAACAGGAGUUUAUAAGAAAAUAUAUAAUAAUUUUUGGCCCGGCACGGCCCGGUCUGGCCCAUUCGUAAAGAGGCCCACCUAUUUAUAGGCCCAAACACUUUGCUGGUCUAAGCUUAGCACACAAUUGAAGUGCAAACAUUUUAUUAUUCAUGAUCACAACAAUAUUCUUUUUUUUGUUCUUUCUCUUGCUUUACAAGAUUAUGACUAAUUCAUUAUUUUCUUUUUGAGUAAUUGUUGCACGCAUAACUUUUUAUUGAAAAAUAAAACUUGAUUUUGUCAAAGUUCCUAAAAAUAUGAAUUAUUCUUUUCUAACUAGAUCGACUAGAGCACUCAAACUGUUCGUUGACGCAAAAGAAUUUUCUUUUUUCCACCAUCACCUAUCCUUAAAAACUAGUUAAGGAGCCUGCGCGAUGUGGCAGAAAAACAAUACAACAGUAAGUUAUUAAAUUAUUAGCAUCACUUUUUUCUAUUAUGCAUUAAUAUUUUUAAAUAUUAUUUAUCUCAGUAUUGAAUAAUUAAAAAUUAAAAAAUAAAUUAAAGAAUGAAAUGAAAGUAUAUUUUUUUUAUAAAAAUAUAUAAACUUAAUAAGUUAAAUGAAUAAAUCAGUUUAAAAUCAAAAUAAAAGCUCAUUACAGUAUUAAAAAAGAUAAAUAAUAUUUUUCUAUUAUCAUCAAGAUAGAAUUUAUAAAUAAAAAAUAUAAAAAAUUAAUUGGAGUGCAAGUACUAUUUUUACUAUUCUUGACGGCAACGUCUUUAUUGUGUCCUCGUUAACUUUUAUUGUUACACGUACAACUAAUAAAGAAUAUAAUUCAGAUUAAUAGUAUACGAAUUAACAAAAUAUUACUCACAUGAACUAAAUAAUAUAAUUUAACUGGAGAACAAAACUAAUAGCAUAAAAACAUCCAAGAAAAAAAAAUCAAAAAUUGAAUUCUCUCAUUUCAAGAUAGUAAUUUGUUACUUUUGAAAAAAAUAAAAAAAUAAUUAAAAUUAUCAAUCAAGCAUCAUGAGUCAAUAAUCACAAUUUGAAGAGUCUUAAUUCAUAUUUGAAUAUGUGAAUAACCCAAUAUACAAAACACGAUUACAUUGCUAAAGGUCUUAUCAUAAUUUUUAUUAAAAGUAAAAAAUUAAAUGCAUUAGAUGCAACUUGCUAAUGGCCUACUAUCUUGUAUCUACUCUUAUGUAGCAAACUAUCUGAGAUGAUUAAANGUCUUAAUUCAUAUUUGAAUAUGUGAAUAACCCAAUAUACAAAACACGAUUACAUUGCUAAAGGUCUUAUCAUAAUUUUUAUUAAAAGUAAAAAAAAAAAUGCAUUAGAUGCAACUUGCUAAUGGCCUACUAUCUUGUAUCUACUCUUAUGUAGCAAACUAUCUGAGAUGAUUAAAAAAUAAUAAAUCAACUUGAUAGAUCAAACCUAAUUGUUCUCAUUUGUCUAAAUUUAAAUAAAAUUUAAAUUACAUAUUUAAAUUGUACAUUAAAAUUUUAAUUCGAAUGCAAAUUCAAAUAUCAAAAUAAAAAUAAAAAAAUUAAGUUUGAAAUCAAAAAUUAAAAAAUUUAAGUUUGAAAUCAAAUUUUAGAUUCAAUUUAAAAUUCAAAUUUAAAAUUUGAAUUGAAUUCUAUUUUAAAUAUGUUAUCGAGUACUAUAUUUAUAUAGUCCGGCUGAAGUACUAUCGAUGCCACCAAGAAUUUGGUGCUAUCGAGUUUUCUACCGUUAGAUUUAACCCUUUGAUUAUUUUUACCCGUUAAAUUAUACUAUUCAACCAACCACUUACUCAACCCUAGGGGGUCCACAUCAUCCUAACCACAAAUUUCUCAAUCCAAGGGCUAAAAAAUCAAUAGCACCAAUAGCUUGGUGCUAUUGAUAGUAUUCCAGCUUAGUUAUAUAUAUAUAUAUAUAUAUAUAGGCUACUAUACUAUCUAUAGUACCGNCAAACUUGAUGGGUGAUUAGAAAGUUAGGAGCACAAGGGCUGCUGUCCUCCUAAUAGCAUAGUAGUCCUACUUAUAUAUAUAUAUAUAUAUAUAUAUAUAGGCUAAUGCUACUAUCCUAUUAAUAGGAUAGGAGCACUUGUCCUAUCAAGUUGUUCUUGACGAUCGAGAUUCCGAAUCGAUGAUCAGAGCCGUUGAAGUUGAUCUAGAGUAUUUGAAAUAUCUAGAAACUAAAUUUCAUAAAUUUUGAUAAUGGUUUACAUGGUGAUCAAAGUGUCGUAAAAUCGAUAAUUUUUGACGGCCUAUAUGAGCCGUUUGCUUGUUUAACGGUGUAGAGCAAUCCAAAUUGCUUGAAUUUUUGAUAGAAAAUUCUUUAUACUAUUUAGAUAAUGUUUGAUAACUCUGAUUACGAACUGAGAAAGUCUAACUAACCUCUAUUUUAAAAAGGUUAUUCAUUUAUGACUGUUCAUUUUUCAACUCUUAAGAUAAACUUGAUAAUGAUUUUAAAAUAAUACAAAAUUUGGUUUCUAAACCUUUCUAAUUGUGUAGAUCAACUUCAACGGUGCCGAUUAUCAAUUUGAAGUUCCGAUCAUUCAAAUCAACUUGAUAGGACAAGAGUCCCAAUCCUAUUAAUAGGAUAGUAGCCGGACUAUAUAUAUAUAGAGUUGGACUGGGUUACUAUUAGUAGCAAAAUUCUAUUGUUGCUACCAGUUUUUUAGCCUUUGGAUCAACUCUUUUCAUUAUUUCUAACCGUUGGAUUAAAUACUAUAACCCAGUGGGGACCACUCAAUUCUAACCGACUAAUAUCAUCUUGGCCCUACAAUUUUUCAUCCAAGGAUUAAAACCUUGAUAGCAAAAAGAAUAUUUUACUAUUAAUAGUAUUCCAGCAUAAUUCUAUAUAUAUAUAUAUAUAUAUAAUUAAAGAGGGAGAGAGAGGUCUACUAAACUCUCUCUCUUAGGCGGUCCACGAGAAGAUGAAGCCCACCUCGUGGACGCGUGCAAAAAUGCUAGUGAACCCCACCAUUUUUGGUGGGCCCCACUGCGGAGAGGCAUUGUUGGUUCCCAAUUCAUAAAUUUAUAAAUAAAUUGCAUUGUUCUUUUUUUUUCUUUUUCUAUAAGGUGAAGCUCCCCCUUUUCUUCUUCUUCUUCUUAAUCUUCUCCUUUAAUUUUCUUCCGGCUUUUUCAAAUUUCUUUGGUACUCCGGCCAAGAAAAAAAAAUUGAGUGAGAAAAUUUCCAACUACGCUUCCUUGGGAGCCCGCAAUCCGCAUAUUAUUUAUGCUUCUAUCAAAGAAUGAUAAUCCUUCUCUUUAGGUAGCGUUUGGUUCGGGUAUAAGUAAGAACUAGCUAUUACAGGGAUAGGUACAAGUAUGGGGAUAAAAAAAAUAGCGUUUGGAUAAAAAUUAGGUUGUUGCCGGGGAUAAGAAAAAUAGCGUUUCAAUAAAUAAUAUGGAAUAAGAAAAAUAGUUGAUAAUUAUAUAUAGAAAAUAGAGGUGUUGGUGGGGAUAGUAAUACUGGUUAUUUUAGGUAUCUGAAAAUUACUAUUCUCGGAUAAAAAAUUUGCGUUUGGGUAUAAAGGGGAUAAGUGGUUAUCCCUCUCCUUAUCCCCAAUCCAAACACUGCCUUACGUUUUUAAAAAAUCUAAAAUUUUGGUAUUAAAAAAUACCUGCAAACAUAGUGAAUGACAAAUAUAUCUCUACAAAAUUCAACUUUUAUAUCUUAUCCCCGCAAAAGUUCAGAUAUUUUCAAAUAUAUUUAUCAGGUUUGUUACUGUCAGAAAACUAUUUAUAUUUUUAAUUUUGCCAUCACAAAUAUGUCCCUCCAAAAGUCAUAACAGUGUAAUAUAAGCGGAGUAAAAAUGUCAAAAAUUAACCAGGAUUAAGUAUUUAACCUAUUAUUAACUAAAUUUUUCUAACGGAUUCUAACUGUAGGGAUAUAUUUGAAAAUAUAAAAAUUUUACAAAAAUAAUAUAUAAAAAUUAAAUUUUAUAAAAAUAUAUUUAUCAUUCAUUAUAUUUAUAAAAAUUUGUAUAAAAUUAACUUUAAAAUUAAGAGUAGGACUACUAUGCUAUUAGGAGCACAACAAUCUUUGUGCUCCUAACUUUCUAAUCAUCCAUCAAUUUUGAUGGAUGAUUCGGACGAGAUAGAGAAUAGAAAUUCAAAUAGAAGAAAAAUUAAGACACCCAAUUUCUUUCCAAUUUUUCUUCGCUUUUUCAUUUUAACCAUCCAUCAAAUUAAUAAAUAAUUAAAAAAUUAAAAGCAUAUAAAAAUUACUGUACUCAUACAGUAGUCCUGCUCCUAAAAUUAAUAUAUAGUCCUGCUCCUAAUGUUUUGGGACAGUCCCUCCCCGCUGAAAUUUUAUCCUGCCUGCUGCUGCAGCUGAAAUUUUAUGCCCGAGACGAGAUCUGCGGGAUCUGCUGGGGAUUGCUGGCGAUGAUGAUGGACGGCGAUGAUGGAGACGGCGAUGGGACGUCUGGAUGGGAUUGCCGGCGAGUGUGUGGACGGGCGUUGCGUGGCGGCGCGAUUCGCGGGAUUUCUGCCACAUCGUGCGGCACGAAGAGGGAGGGAGAGGGUAGAUAAAAUAGGUAUUAAGUGCUUCAAAUGAGGUUAAAAUACCAAAAAAAGGAAAAAAAAAAAAAAGAAAAUGCUUGUUUUGCUCUUUUUUUUUUUCUUUUUUUUUCUAUUUUUUUUUAAGGUACCUCUAAAAAUGUAUAUUUUAUUUUUUAAAAAAAUUUAAAAAUAUUUUUAGAAAAUUGUGAUAUUAAUAAAAAGAAUAAAAUGAUCAAAUUAUUUUUAUUAGUUGUUUCCACACGCUAUUCUUAUUUUAAAAAUUUUAAAUUUAAAAUUAAAAUGUAAAAAAAUUUAAAUUUAAAUUAAAAGUUUUAAAUUUUAUAAUUUUAAAUUCAAAAUGUAAACUUUAAAAUUUUAUAUUUUAAAUUUAAAAUUUAAAAUUUUAUGCGUUAAAAUUUAAAAUUAAAAUUUGAUACUUUAUAUUUUCAAAUUUAAAUUUGAUCUUGAAUUUAAAGUUUGAAAUUAAAAAUUAUUAAUUUUGAAUUUAAAGUUGAAAUUUAAAAUUUAUAAUUUUGAACUUAAAAUAUGAUUUUAAAUUUUAAAUUUUAAUUUAAAAAUAUAAGUAUAAAUUAAAAAUUCAAAAUUCAAUAUUAUGAGAGUGGUAAUAAUUAUUUUUAUUUAAAUUAUUUACUAUCCUAUUUAUUCUAUAUUUAUUUUUAUUCUCAGGAGAAUAAACUAAUUUUUAUCCACACGCCAAAAAUUGGUAUUUUAUACAUUGUUUCUGAAACAGGCAGUUCUUAUUUUAUCCGAAAUCAAAUGAUACAUAUGGUAAUAUAUGUAGUUUUUGAAAGUCAGAAAAGAUAAUUGAAAAGAUGAGUAUUAUCAAGAGUUUUCUAUAUUUUAGCCUUAAAAUAAUUAGGAGUACUAAGUUGAUCAUAAUUUCACGGGUGUGUAAAUAUAAAGAAAAAAAAAUGUACACUUAUCUAAACUAUAAGACCAUCUGGAUUUUGCUAUCCAAUAUUUCGAAAUUUUUAAAUUUAUUAUCCGAUUUUUUAAUUUGUUUAAUUUCAAUCAAUCAACGAUAGUUUUAAUUUUUAAAAUUUAAGUAAUUAAUAUACGAAUUUAUAAUGUCGAUAAUUGCAGUAAAAUAUUGAUUAAAUCUGUAAAGAUAAAUAAUCCAUUCAAAUUGUAAAUUCAAACACUCGUUCACUGAUUCAAAUCAAAAAUCGGAAAAACAUAUAAUACCAUCCUAUGGUUUCACACUUUUUCACUUUAGUGCCAUGUGGUUUAAAGUGUAUCAAUUUAGUGCCCUAUGGUCUUCAUUUUUAUCUUUUUUAUAAUCAAUUCCACUAAUUUUUUUUGUUAAAUUAGUGACAAAGUUAAAACUAAAGGUACUUAAAGUGAAUAUUCGAUAACCUAGGUGGAGUAUCUAAAGUUUUUUGUUGUAAUUUAACAAAUAUUAAUGGAUAAGCUUGAUGAAAAGAUAAAAAUAAAACCACAGGACUACUAACUUGAUAACACUUUAAACCACAUGUACUAAAAUGAGAAAAUACAAAACCGACAUGAAGGGUAUUUAAAGUUUACCCAUAAAAAAAACUGAAAUAUGGAUAGUCAAAUCAAAUGUUUAAUAGUUCAGAUAAGUCGUAUACAUUUUUACCUUAAAAAUAAUUAGCACGCAUAUAGAGUAUAUUUUUAGGGAUGUAUAUAUAUAUAAAUUGAGCUAGAAUACUUUUAGAAGCUAUCAAUCUGUUGGUGCUUCUAAGUUUUUAGCCCUUGGAUCUACUCCUUAAUUACUAAUACCCUUGAUUCAAACACUAUUCCAACUACACCACCUACCACCAGCUGCACUAUCAUCAUCAACCAUCUACAUUCUUCCAUCACAUGUAAAAACGUUAAAAAGCACCAACCCCGUGGUGCUUUCUGAAGUAUUCUAGCUCAACUAUUAUUAUAUAAUAUAUAUUAUAUAUAACUAUAUAUAUAUAUAUAUAUAUGAAAUAGGGAUUAAGGUAUUGGUGCAAUUUCAAGUAUAAUCUUCUAAAACUCCAAAAUAUCCAAAAUAUAAUAGAUGCUCUUUCUAGAUCUAAAAUAUCGUCAAUCUAUAUAUCUAUACCUUAUCUAUACCUCUAUAUCUUCUACACAUUAUUUUCUCUAAAUUUGUCACAUGGCAACGUUCGCUUUAUUGUUGGGUGUGGGCUCCACCCCGAACUUGCUCAAAUCCAUUUUUGUCUUUCUUUACUUGAACCAAACCGAAAUUUUAUCUUUCUUUGCUUGAACCAAUCCAAUUAUUAUUGAGUGUGGGUUCUCCCAAACCGGCUCAAGUCCUCCACAUAUUUUUUUCUUUUUUUUCUUGAACCUAACUGGGUUUUCCUUUUUUUUUUAUUAAACCGAACCGGAUCACACCUCUACAUUGGACCGAACUAUUCCUAUUCCACUUUUUUUGGCUAUUACCUUCAUUCAUCGGCAAGAUGAAUCUCACUCCUUAUCGUCACUUCUUCCAUCGCCGUUUCCUCUUCCUUUGUCGUCAUUUUCUACUUUUUUUCUAAUUAUCUACUCGUCGCAUCACACAGAUUACUACAUUAGUCUAUAUCUAUAUAUUAUAUAUAUCUAAAGUGGGUGGGAGAAGGUAUAGAGGGGGCACAUGGACACAUAUUAUAUUAGUUAAUUUAGUGCACCCGGUGCACCAUAAACCAUACUAAGUGGGUGGAGGAAGAUGGGAAGGGACACAAGUUGUGUCGGUUAAUUCAGUGCACCUGGUGCACUAUAAAAGGGUAAAUUGUAUUGUUACCUGAACUUUUGGCGAAGUUUCACUUUACCCCUCGAAUUCUAAAAUAGACAUCUGACACCCUAAACUCUAAUAUUUCAUUCACGUUACUCCUUCCAUCAGUUUUCCGUCAAGCUCCGUUAACCAGAAACUGACGGAAGGGGUAAAACGAAUGAAAUAUUAGAGUUUAGGGUGUUAGAUGCCUAUCUUAGGAGUUUAGGGGGUUAAGUGAAACUCGCCAAAAGUUCAGGAGGUAACAAUGCAAUUUAUCCCGACUAUAAAUUAUUUUUAUAUUAAAAAUUUUUAAUUGGCUGAAAUGAAGUACACAAAUUUUAUUUAAGUGUAUUUUCUAGAGCAAUACUUAUAAAGAUAAAAGAGACAAACAAGUACUACAGAAAAUUAACUGAAAAUUAAAAUAUCUAUAUCCGAGUGAGGUCGCCUAUUGUAAAGCAACCAUAUUAGUGAGUACGCCAGGAUAGUAGAGUGUUCGAGCAUCGUAGGUAAUUAGUAUCACUAUUUUUUUAUCUUUAAGCCACUCUAUUCAUUUCUUUCGCCUUUAUUUUAUUACAAUAAAAUAUAGAAUAAAUUAUGUUAUGAUUUAUUUUAGAAUAAAAAAUAUAUAUAAAUUCAAAAUCAAGUAUGAUCACUAACUUGAGGAUUAGUAAUAAAUUAUGUUAUGAUUUAUUUUAGAAUAAAAAAUAUAUAUAAAUUCAAAAUCAAGUAUGAUCACUAACUUGAGGAUUAGUAGUCAAUCCAUAAGUAAAAUAUUAUAAUAAAAUAAUUUAUAGUCAAGAGUCCUCAACGGGGUAAAUUGCACUACUACCUUUUGAACUUUUAGCGAGUUUCAUUUAACUCCCCAAACUCCUAAAAUAGACAUUUAACACCCUAAACUCUAAUAUUUCAUUAAUUUUACCCCUUCCGUCAGUUUCUUGUUAACGGAGCUUGAUGAAAAACUGACGGAAGGGAUAAUAUGAACGAAAUAUUAGAGUUUAGGGUGUUAGAUGUCUAUUUUAAGAGUUCGAGGGGUAAAGUAAAACUUCGCGAAAAGUUCAGGGGGUAACAAUACAAUUUACCUCACUAUAAAACAUAACCAAAUAUCAUAAACUUUAAUUAAUUAAUAAACAAAAAAAUUAUCUAUUAUCUAUUAUCUAUUAUCUAUUACUAUAUACUAAAGUGCGUGAGAUUCUUCUUUUAUUGACGUGUCCGGCUCAACUACUCAGUACACCCGAUGCAUCGUAGACCGUUGAUUAUCGACAUAUGUAUGGUCUAUGAAGGUCUAUGAAAAAAUCUUAGGUGCAUCUGAUUUAUUUCUAUCUAUUCUUUCUUCUACAUUAAAAAAGGGUUUGAGGAUGACACGUAUCCCCCAAAACCCUCACCUCCUCUCACUCCUUACCUAUAUAUAGAUAGGGUUUUAAAAUUUUAUAUUAUAAAAUUCUAAAUUUUGGAUAUCGAAAUUUUAAUUUAUUCCUAAAUUUUCAACUUUAAAAUUUUAAAUUUUAAAUCCUAAACUAUAUAGAAUUUUGAGGUAUUUUUCUAAAUUGCUUUAAUUCAUUGUCCACAAACUACUAAACCAAUGAGAAUACACAUUCAUUUUUUGUCAUUUAUCUAUUGUAAGUCCAAAUUUUAGAACAAAUUAAAUCUUUUCACGUUGGUGCUUAAUUGUGGUAAAUUUAAAAACUUCUUACAAAAUUAAAUACAUGUUCAUAAAUUCAAAAAAAAUUAUAAAGUCAGUCAAUUAAAAACCUACGAAUCAAAUAACUACUUUUUAUUUUAUCAUAAUAUUUUCAAUUCUCGAUAUUGCUUGCAUGGGUCAACAAAGUUACAAAAAUGAUCUGAAUAGAGUUAGAAGAAUAAGAAUUUAAAAAACACAAAAAGAUGAUAUGUAUUUUUUAAAACAAACUGGCGUAAAAAUAAACAUGUUACAAACUCUUCCUUUUUACUUCUGAAAAUUUUGAAAGUUUACGGAAUCUCAAGAAUCUAAAUUUAAACUAUAAAAUAUCUAGAGACAAAAUCUGUAACAAAAUUUUUUAUUUUGAAAUCAGAUAUUGAUACAAAAAACAAGGCCAUCGUACCCGCAACAAAGCGCGGGUACAUCGCUAGCAUUCUUUUAAAACACAAAAAUAAUUAUCCCAUUAAACAUAGAAAUCUAUCGCAAAUAUCCUCCUAAACUUCAAAAUCUUAGCCUAAACCCUAAACCCUGUUGUAUAUACAAGGACGGCAAUGAUAUUUUACACUUUGAGGGGUAUUUAUGAAGUUACCAGUUUGUAGAGGACAUUAAAUUAUAUGUGUGUGAGUUACAUAGUUCUUAGGCUUAGUUUGGUAUUAAGGCCUAUCUAACGCUAUUUGAUAAAAUGGAGUUGUGAAAAAAGCAUAUAGGGAUAUGCUUUUGCGUUCUCCAGUGGGAUCGCAGAAAAUAUAGCGUAACCGACUCAUCGUGAUAUGCGGAACGCAAUAUUACGUACGGAAACAAACAUGGUAUUUUUCCAACGUACUUUCUCACCGCACGUAACGCAAUCUCCCGGCAAUUCCGAACGAAGCCUUACACGAUGGGUAAAGUUUAGGGUUAAUUUCAUACAGAUCCCUGCAAACAUGGUGAAUAGCAGAUAUAUAUUCCUGCAAAAUUCAACUUUCAUAAGUUAUCUCUGCAAAAGUCCAAUGUAUUCAGAUAUAUCCCUACCGUUAAUACCCGUUAGAAAAAUCUAGUUAACCACACUUAGGGCGUGUUUGGUUCGAAGUCGGAGUCGGAAUCGGAAUCGGAAUCAAAAUAAGUUGGAAUCGGAAUUGGAAUGACUCAUUACCUAAUUCUGUUUGGUUCAUCACCUGAAUCGAAAUCGGAAUAAAUCAUUCCCAUUGUCGGUGUUUGGUUCAGAUGGAUAUAAAAACAUAAUCAAAUGAAUAUACUAACAUUAUCUUUAUAAUAUAUUAAUUUAAAUUUAAAUUAAAAUUAAAUAUUAAAAAUUUACAUCAAAAUUUUAAACUUAAUAGGUGAGUUGAAGUUUCAAAUUAAAAAAAAUUUUUUUUAUCUAAAUUUUAAAACUGUAAUAAAGNNNNNNCUUUGAAGUUGAGUGGAUAAUUCAAAAUAUGAAACUAAAUUUUGAUUUAUUCAAAUUCAAACUUAAAAUUAUAAUUUAAAUUUUAAUUUGAAUUCAUAAAUUUAAUUUAAGUUUGAAAAAAAAAUGAAUAAACUUUAUAUAAAUUAAAAUUUAAUUUAAAUUCAAAUUCAUAAGUUAGAUUCGAAAUACUUGAUUAAAUUUUAAUUUUUAAUUUAAGUUCAAAUUAAAAUUUAAAAUUAUAUAUUUAAUUUCUAAAUUUUAACUCAUAUUUUAAUUAAAAAAGUUGAAAAAAUAAAUUUAAUCCAAAUAAAUAUCUAUUCCGCCCGAAUUCAACUUUCAAUCCGGCCUUCUAGGCCGGAUUGAAAAAAUGGUGAUUGAGCGAUUCCCAUUCCACUCGAAAAUCGGAAUCGGAAUGGGACUCCCACGUACCAAACACCCACAAACGGAUUCACUCAUUCCCAUUCCGAUUCCAUGGUGAAAAAGAAGCGAACCAAACACGCCCUUAAAAUAUUUAACCAUGAUUAGUUAAUAAGGUAAAAUGAUAUUUUUACCUUUCUUCCUCUUCCCCUUCCUCUUCUUCUUCCUCUUCCUCUCCUGCUUCUUCUUCUUCCUCUUCCAUUUUGUAUCCUCAUUUUCCUCCUCUUUUUCUCCUCCUCCUUCUUCUUCGUCGUCUUCGUCGAUGAUCCGAUCGUCGUCGCCGUCGUGGUGCCCGCGUGGGCCGUCGUCACGGGCGCCUCCGACGUCAUCGACUGCGCCUUGGCCUUCCGCUUCUUCCUUGUCCUCGUUGGCCGCAAUCCCGACAAACUCCGCAAGGUGGCCGUCGCCGCCGUCCGCUCCCACAACAUGAAGAGGAAAAGGAAGAUGAAGAGGACAAGGGCAAAAUAGUCAUUUCACAACUCUACUGUUAAAAUAUUAACAGUUCUCUAACAUAUCUAAACCAGAGGGACAUAUCUGAAUACAUUAGGGUUUUUGCAGGAAUAACUUAUGAAAGUUGAAUUUUACAGGAGUAUAUCUGCUAUUCACCAUAUUUGCAGGGAUCUAUAUGAAAUUAAUCCUAAAAUUUAAAUCUAAGAGACCAAAAAUUAAGAUCUAAACUAUUAAAUAUGAUAAAAAAAUAAAAAGAAUGUCUGUAAAGUUUUAUAAAUAUUAAAAAUUAAUUUCUUAUAUAUCGAAUGAUGUGAAACGAAGAAUCCAAAAUUUUCUGGGAAGCAUAAUCAGCAUUAUAUUGAAAACUAAAGGUAUAGAUUUCGAAAAAUUUUAGGGAGUGAAAAAAUAUUACAGAUAUUUUAGAGUGCUUAGCUGGCCCGCUUAAACCCUAAGUCCUAAACUCUAAAUUGAAAUUUGAAUUUAAAUUUGAAUUCAAUGGAUUUUGAAAAUUCAUAUUCAAACUCGAGUCUGACCAAAAAUAUGAAACCGAAAUCCGAACUCAAACCCAAAAAUCCGAACCCGAAAUAAUUAUUUCUCAUUAUCGUAUUUCAAAAACAUAUUAUUUUUAAAAUCUCAAAAUUUUAAAUUACAAGCUAAAUAAAAUUUAACAUCAAAUAUUAUAAGGUAAAAACAAUUCGGUUUGGGUCGGGUUCAAGUUCGGGUCACGUCAGAAUAAAAUCCAUACUCGAAUUCAAAUCUAUCAAGUUUUCUUUUUCUAUGCCCAUCUGUUUAGUAUCGAGUAAACUCACUCCGAUCGAAUUCGGAUUCAAAAUAAAAUUUUUGGUAUUUGUACCAUUGACAUCCCUAAACAAACAUUUAAGUGCAAGUAAUAUUUCCACACCCAUUUGAUUAUGGUUAACCCUCUAACCAAAAUAUACUCUUCUAAAAGUUAAUUUCAUUAGUAAAUAGAUAUUUGAAGAAUUUUUUUAAAAUUAAUAAGAAUAUUUUGUCCUAUUUAAAUUAAAUAUUUUUAAAAUUUUGUACAAAAAAAAACUUAUUAUAUAUAUUUACUAAUGAAAUUAACUUUUAGUUGCUCAAAACAUCCAUAAUUUAACAAAUACUUAUUUAUUUUAUCUAUAAUUUUUUAAAUAAAAAAAUAAUAUUUAUAAAUCAUAAAUUUAUAAAUAAUUUGUGAAUAUCUGCAUAUACCAAUUAAGAUAGUGAAAUCUAGUCCUCGUAUAAGAGAAAACAAUGAUUAGUUUAGAUUUUUUUUUUUUUUGUGGUUUUCGAAAUAUUUUAUGUGGUGUGUGAAAUGUGCACGUAAACGACCGCUGCCGGUAACAAUCUUUCUUGUGUGCGCCUUUUCCUCGCUGUCUUCCCGCCCCCCUUAUUUAUUCGGCGCUCCUUCGCCCGCAGACGUACGCCAAAAAACGAAAAGCGACGACCGACCGCUGGUCCUCGCAGCACGCCCCCAUCACAAUCCAACGGCGGGCAGCUCACCUUUCUCUCUCCCCCCACCUGAUAGCGAGAUUAUCGAGGAUCACUCCCCCGCUUUUCCAACUCUACCCCUCCCACCUCUUUUUGUUUCACCAAGCAAAAAUAUUUUGUUUGGUUCGGAAAUAAAUAAAAAAUGACUAUUUCAAAAAUAGAUAUAUAAAUCAAAAAUAUAAAGAGGAUUAGAUAGGUAUAAAUUACAAGAUUUUUUUAUAAAUAUCAUUUUUUUAAUUUUUUCUCGCUAAUUUUUUUAAAAAUAUUCUUUCCCCUCUUAAUAUUUUAAAUUAGGAAAAAUUUCGAAUACCAUCCCUAUAGUUUCGCAUCUUUUAACUUUAGUAUCAUACUAUCAUGUGGUUUAAAGUGUGUCAAUUUAGUACUCGGUGGUUUCGCACUUUCUUACUUUAGUAUCAUAUGGUUUAAAAUGCAUCAAUGUAGUACCCUGUGGUUUUUUUUUUUUUCUUUUCGACAAAUUAUAUACAAAAUACUUCAAAUAUUCUACCUAAGUUUAUCGAAUAUUUACUUUAGUACCUUUAGUUUUAACUCUGUUACUGAUUUUAUUUUCCUCCAUUAAUAUUUCGUUAAAUUAUAUACAAAAAAACGUAAGAUACCCUAUCUAGGUUUAUCGAAUAUUUACUUUAGUACCUUUAGUUUUAACUCUGUUACUGAUUUUAUUUUCCUCCAUUAAUAUUUCGUUAAAUUAUAUACAAAAAAACGUAAGAUACCCUAUCUAGGUUUAUCGAAUAUUCACUUGUACCCCAUAAUUUUAACUUUGUCACUAAUUUAAUGAAAAUAAUUAGUGAAAUAGAUAAUUAAAAAAAAAAAAAAACCACAGGGUACGAACUUGAUACACUUUAAACCAUAGAGUACUAAAGUGAGAAAGUACGAAACCAUAAGGGCUAACUUGAUACACUUUAAAUCACAUGGUACUAAAGUGAGAAAAAUGUGAAAACCACAAAGGGAGUAUUUAAAGAUUACCCUUUAAAUUAUUACAUUUAACCUUUCUCUCUCAUAGUUUCAUUACUGUUCCGUUCAUUUCUUAUAAUUUAUAUCAAAAAUAUUUUUUAAAAUAACAAAAAUAUAUUAAAAAACUAUUUUUUUUAAAAAAAAAUAAUUUGAUCAUUUUACUUUCUUCAUUAAUGUUUUUUUAAAAUAUUUUUAAAAUUUUAAGAGAAUAAAUUAUAAAAUUUUGAGACUGAGAGAGUGAAAGUGAAAAAGUAAGUGUUUAUAGAAAAGUUUUCUAUAAUCUAGCCGAAAUAUUUUAAAGGCGGUUUGGUUCUUCAAAAAAUAUAAAAAAAUUGAGAAAAAAUAUUUUAAAAAACUUUUUUUUAGUUUUCUAUCUAUUUGAUUUUAAAACAAAUUAACUUUUUAAAAAACUAGUCUUUUAGUUUUUCUAAAAAGAGAUUCAAAAAAUUAAAACACGAAUUUUUAUGAAAUUCCACAAUUUUUUUUUUAAAAAAACCUAGUUCUUUGGAAACAACUGGACAAAAAAGUGAAAAUGAGUUUUUUCUUUUUUUUUUUUUUACUGCUUGAUGCAUUUAGCCUUGUCUAUUAAGAUUUCAUUACUGUUUUAUCUAUUUCAUAAAUAUUUUUUAAAAUAGUAAAAAAUAUAUCAAAAUAUUAUUUCGUUUACUCUAGAACAACCAAAAAGACAAUUUGAUCAUUUCACCCUUUUGAUCAACGUUGUAAUUUUUUGAAAAUAUUUCUAAAAUUUUGAGGAGGAAAAAAACAUAGGUUUUAAAAAUCAAGAAGGAAAAGUUAAAAAAUGAUAUAUUUACAAAAAUAUUUUCUAUAUUUUAGCUAAUUUUUUAUUUGCAACAAAUAAAUUUCAAACUGAUCAUUCCCAACGCAAGUUAUUAAGAACUUGAUAGGUUAAAUCCAAGGUAAUAAAUUUGAAACUUAAUUACUUAUACAUUUUUAGUUAAAGAAUUGUUUGGAUUUUAGAAAGCGUAUGAAAGAGGUUUUUCGAAAAAAAAAAAUUUAUGGAAUUUUUUUUUUUUCAAUUUUUCGUCUGUUUGGUAUUAUAAAAAACUAGCAAUUUUAAAAUUUAUAUUUCUGAUUUUAUAGAAAACUAGUGUUUUUGUUUUUUGACGCUAGUUUCUAUAAAAUCGAACCCUUUUUUUUUCAAAAAAGCUAUUUUUUCUUGAAAAUAAAUGGGUGAAAACAAGAGAGAAAAACCUUUAUUUUCCUUAUUUUUUUUCAUACUUUUGCAAGAAAACCAAAAAAAUCCUUUAUUUAUUAAUAACAUGCACGAAGUAGAUACCAUGCUAUUUUUAUCUCAAAAAAAAAAAUAAAUUUUACAAUAUUUUACAAAUUAUGUAAUUUAAUGGUUGGAUUUCAAUCUCAAUAUUAAAAGUCAUGCUUAGCUUCUCGUGAUUUAUACUUUAUUAUUAAUUAAUACCAGCUACGCUCUUCUACAAAGUAUUGUAAAUUAAUCAAUUUGUAAGCAUAAUAUUACUCUUCAACAUAAUAGAUUGAAGUGAGACUUCGAGGUAAACUAGAGUUCAAGUAAAACUUACUUCCUCCUGUUCUUCAUUUAUAGAGCUGUGAAAUUGAAGUUUUUCGAGAUCUAUUUUUUAUUUGGUAAGAAAUGAAUGACGUGAAAAUUAAAGAUGUGAAAAAUGAAUUAAUAUUUUAUUAUUAUUAUUAUUAUAUCGUAAUUGACUUUUAGUUUGGGGCACUGUCUUGAGGACAUUGAGAUUUAACUAAAGAUGAAGUUACGGUGAUCUAAAUAAAGAAAGUAGACAUUUACUGCUAAAAACCACUUUACCCAUUUCUAGGUGAAAUAAACACACAAAUUAAAAGUGAUUUCUCUAGAACUAAAAUCUAGAUAACAAUUAUUUAUUUUUUUACGGGGGUCAUUCAUCCUAGAACUACUCCCGUUCUAAUACGUUUUAACUCUCUUAACCUCUUGGAUCUAGCCACCACCUAAAAUACUUAAGCCGGAUUAUUAUGUCUAGUCCAAAAUCACUAGACGAUGUAAAACUUGUCUCGUAAGGCUUUGUCAUUCACUGACCCUGAUUUAAUUUGUCAGCCUAAGAAUGUUAGCUGAUGUGAGACUUGUCUCGUUAGCUUUUGUCAUUCUGAUCAUAAUUUAGCCUGUCAUUCAUCAACUCUGGCUCAGCCAAGACUCACCUCAUAUUUUCGACCGGUGAAUCGGCUCUGAUACCAAAUAUAACAACCCAACCCGCUAGCAAUAAUAACUUGUUGGAUCCAAACUAUCGACCAAACUAUUAAACCUAGUUAUUAUUAUUAGGGUGGAGUCCUCUUGUAUACCCAAAAAAAACUCAAUUCUCAUCCGAUGUUCGAGCUAUCACCUUAUCUUUUAGGCAGGGACUCAGUCGAAACUUGCCACACAUUUUUCUGCUGGUGAAUAGCUCUAAUACCAAUUAUAAUAAUCCAAUCCACUAGCAACAAUAUCCAGACCCUGGUAUAGCGGUUCACCUUAUCAUUCAGACUCCAGCAUCACCUAUCACCUUGUCUUUUAGACCCUAACUCAGUCGAGACUCGCAACAUAUUUUCAGUUAGUGAACUGGCUCUGAUACCAAUUAUAACGACCCUACCCGUCAGUAACAAUAACUUGUUGGGUCCAAACCACCGGCUCAAAAUGUUUAAGCCUAAUUAUUAUUAUUAGCGUGUAAGCUUUAUAUAUUCUAAUCAAAAUUAUUUUUCCAUCCUACUAAUAAUACUAACUCGUUGGGCCAAACCAUCGGCUUAAAAUGCUUAAGCUCAGUUAUUAUUACUAGCAUAUAGGCUUCAUAUAUUCUAAUCAGAAUUAGUUUUUUCACUCGAUGUGAGACAAUUGCGGUGUUACAAACUCUCAUUGUCCUCGUCGAGUCCAAAUCAGAUUACAGAUGCAAACCAAAAUUAGCAGGCGGUGUAAGAUUCAAAAGGUAACUCCCAUCAAAUUCGUUGGUGUAGCACUUUGUUCCACAUAACACUUAGCUCUCACACUUCCGGCUGACAUUCGGUUCUAAUACCAACUAUGAUGUCCCAAUUUCUCAGGUGGUCAUCCAUUCUAGGACUAUUCUCGUCCUAACACGCUUAACUCUCUUAUCCAUCGCCCAGCACAAAGUUAAUUACAACGUUAUGAUAAAUAGAGUCACGAAGAAAUUUAAUUUAUAAUAAAUUGGCCAACCAAAAUAAGCAUUCACAACCGAAAACAACUUCGCCUCUCUGCACUUUCGGCAAAAGGAACGUGCCCUUAGCCGUAUGUCAAUAUUUAAUUUUCGUUCUAAUCACGUACCGGAAAUUUAUUGUCUAUUAAUUAAUUAAUAAUAAUAAUAUAAUACAAUAUAUAUUAUUAUAUUAUAUAUUUAAUUUUUUGAAUAAAUUGUUUGGUGAAUAAUAAUAAUAAUAAAUAUAAAUAUAAAUAAAAUAAUAAUAAUAAUAAUUUGUGCCUCUUCCCUCGCGUUUCCCGGUCAAACCGUCCCCAGAUCCAACGGCGGUGAUGCUCCGAUCCGCUUUCCCUCGCCCCCCCGGCCCUCGCCUGACCCAUCACGCGCCAACACGUCGGCGCACGCGUACCCCCCGCCACAUGCUUCGCACGCGCUUUCGCACGUCCGGCGCCCCCCGCCGCUCCUUUUUCCUUCCCCCCAACCCCCCAACCCCAACCCUAACCUAACCCUAAUCCCCCCCCCCCCUCCCCUCCCCAGUUCCCAAGACCUACCGAUCCCACACAGAAAAAAAAAGGGGUGGGCGAAGCAACACGAACGUAGAACAACGUAGGACUUGAUCAAAAAGAUAAAUUUGUAGGAAAGUUAUAUUAUUUGUCACAUCCAGGGAUGGAAGUGAACUAGUGACGAAAGUUGAAGGGUUUUAAUGAAAACUAUAGGACUGAGUAACAAUUUUGGAUAGUUUAGGGACUAACGCUUACAAAUCGCCCGUUUAUUAGUUUCUCCAACAUAAAUAAUUAGAAGUCACUAAAAAAAUAAUAAUAAUAAAUAAUAAAUUAAAAAAAGGUAGCAAAACCUUUGCGCUCCUCACGAGCGAGAGGACGCCGAAGCUCGAUCCCCUCCAUCUCCUCCGCGAUACCCUAACCUAGAGAGAGAGAGAGAGAGAGAGAGAGAGAGAGGAGGAGGAGGAGGAGGAGAUUGAGAGGGAUUACUUACUAGGGUUUGGAGGAGGAGAUGGAGGGGAGGGAGACGAGGGGGCCGCCGAACCCGGCGCUGCCGUACAGGGAGGAUUGCUGGAGCGAGGGGGAGACGUCGGCGUUGGUGGAGGCGUGGGGCGACCGGUACCUCGAGCUGAACAGGGGGAACCUCCGCCAGAAGCACUGGCAGGAGGUCGCCGACGCCGUCAACUCCCGCCGCGGCGCCGCCGUCUCCGCCGGAGCCGGAGGAGGAGGAGGAGGAGGGGGAGGGAGACGGCCGCCGCGCACCGACGUGCAGUGCAAGAACCGGAUCGACACCCUCAAGAAGAAGUACAAGGUCGAGAAGGCCCGCAUCGCCGACUCCGCCGGCGCCCUCCAUAGCCCCUGGCCCUUCUACGCCCGCCUCGACGCCCUCAUCGGCUCCUCCACACCCCCCGCCGCCCCUCACUCCUCCGCAUCCGCCUCCGCCUCCGCCUCCGCCGCCCCUAAAAAGCCCUCCUCCUCCCCUCCCUUCGCCCUCCCCCUGCCCUUCCACCGCAAGGGCUUCCGCAAGGCGGCCGCCGCCGCCGCGGCGGCCGCGGCCGACGACGACGAGGACGAGGAGUCCGGAUCGUCGUCGAGGUCGCUUUCCUCGCGGUCGAAGUUGGGGAAGCGGAGGAGGGGGAGGGAGCGGGACGAUGGGGACGGGAUCCGGGAGCUGGCGAGGGCGAUCGAGAGGUUCGCGGAGAUCUACGAACGGGUGGAGGGGGCGAAGCAGCGGCAGAUGAUGGAGCUGGAGAAGCAGCGGAUGGAGUUCGCCAAGGGGCUGGAGUUCCAGCGGAUGCAGAUCUUCGUCGACUCGCAGGUCCAGCUCGAGAAGAUCAAGCGCUCCAAGCGGGCGGACGCCGGGGAGCCGAUUAGAUCCGUCGCUGCCCUUCAUUUCCUUUCUACCCCGCGGUUCUUUGGAUGAACUAAAGUGCUCGACCGUUCGAUCUCUAGGUAUAAGAUUCUAUUCCUUUUCUUUGCUUUUGAUUUUAUAUACGUUUCGACGAAUGUGAUUUACGUAUUCUAUACAUCUCUAUCUUUAGAUCUUUACUUUUGGUCUUGUCAUCUUUUUUUUGUUGUUAGAAGAAUAGUAAUCGAGUUUUUCUUUCCUUUGAAGUUGUUUAAAUAGGAAAUUGGAGGCGUCAGAUUGGUGUAUUGUGUUAUGUGUUGAUGUCGAGGUGAGUACUGUAGGUAGAUAUUAUUUCAAUCAAUUGAGAGUAGGUUUUAUUCGGAAUUGCCUUUUUUAGGUAGUAUAGAUGUGCUUGGUGCCAUUGAGUGCUUGUUGGUUAGGAGGUGAAGAUAGUGAAUCUUACAAAUUUGAAUUUGUUAGGUAAUUUAGUGGUAUUAUUUCCACUGUUAGAGAGAUUUUGUAAUUAAUGGAGCCUCUGUUAUCUCAAUUAAAAUUGUUGUGUUGUUAUGGAGGUGAUUUCUGUAAGCACCUGUCUAGUUUUCAUUAGAUAUCGGUGAGAAACUAAAUGCAACUUUGACAUGAUGCACAUAUGUAAUGUGCAUUCACUAGCCCAAUUGAUUUUGGUUUACGAAAUCUAUGAAGCUGAUUGCUUUUCGAUGUUUGUAUUUUCAUAAGUUGUUUUUUAUAUGAACGAAGUGGUCUCUUCUAUUUUGGUGACUAGAUAGUUAGGAAACAAAGGUUAAAUAAUGUCAAAAUUAGAUGAUACAUUGCUUCUUGAAGUUCCAGUUAUUCAUGUUGCUUAGCUAGAGAUGUAAUCUGUAAGAGCCUUUCCACUUGGAUUCUUAUUAAGAAUCAUGUUUUGUCUUUAUUAAUGACCCGUGCUUGUUGAAUAUGAGUGAUGAUUCCUAACCAAUCACUAUGAUGCCUUCAAGUUUUUCAAACUUUGUGAUUAAGCUUCAUAUAUACUGGAGAUAGUUCAAAAGAUGCCAUGUAUUCUACAUAGAAAUUGCAUUCUUACUUCGAUGUUUUUCUGUUCAUCCUCUAUGAACGAUUUGCAAUGGUGAACAAAUUAUCCUUCAUCGUCCUAAUAUCCUAUUAUUUUUCAUUUUUAAGCCUAGAGUGUUUGGCACAUUGAACUAAUAGCUAGAAGAUUCUUGAAAGUGUUUUUUUUUUUUUUUGUUUUUUAACACUUAUGCAUGGUAGAUGCUUAUUUGAAAUAUUAAACACUGCUGGUUUUUGAUCUGGUGGAGAAUUAUAUAUCUGUGAUAAGAGUAUGCAUGAUGUGGUUAUAUUUACCUGUCAAAAUAAGAGUAAUAUUAUUUAUAGGUUUUUCUCUUCUUUGUAUACUGCUUAACAGCCAUUGUGUUUGUGGCCUCGGCCGUUUUGCCUUUUUAUCCUCCACCUACUACUAAUAUUUUGUGCUACUGAGGUGCCCUUGUUAUCUUUUAUGUUGACACGCACUGCUUGAUGGGAAUUGGUCUUUCUUGCUAAUUUUAACUCGAAACUUUUGCAUCUAUCAUCUGUUGAACUUUAUUAAACCAUUAGACAUGGUAAAGUAAAUAUUGUGAGUGAUUAAAGCAAUAUUGCUGAUUAAAACACCACUUCUCUACAAUACUCCUCGAAAAAGUCUUUACAGGUUGUAAAAUCGAAUCGUCGUUUUAGCUUCUCAAGUUAACCAUCUCCAGGAGAGUAAAUGAUUUACAGCUUGCAAUAAGUGCGUUACAUGAAAUUCAAUUCAUCAGUCAAACUUCUUCUGCCUGAUUGGAAGCAACCUGGGGGAGCACAUCUGUAGAGCUUCAAGCAUCUAACGUGCCAAUCUGAUAUUUCUUUACAUUUGUCAUAGUGGGAAAAACUAACAUGGUUAUUUGAGAGUGAGUUUAGUCGAAACAAUACGUAAACUCUAGUGUUAGUUGAGUUCAACUAGGUGCUGAGAAAGUAUUGUAUAAAGACCCGUGGUUAUAUCCUUUUCAAGAGCUUUCUUCAGUUGUGGGGAAUAGAUUUUUGGUCUCCUCAUACUUGUUGUCGUAAAUGUCAAUUCAUGGCAUGAGAAUAUUGGGUAUAGAUCAAUUACAUUGGAAAUUAUAUGCUAUUCUUUUGUUUCAUUUGCCUAAUGCUUCAAUCUUUCUUUUUGGCAACCAGCAAAGAUAGGUUUGUAAUUUGUCCUCGAGGAAUAAUUGUUUCUGUUUUUACUAUGCUGGUUUGUUCUUCUACACCUCAUAAACACAUGGCAGUAUCGUGUCUCAUUUAUUAGUUUUCCUGUAGAAAAGUUGAUUAGAGAAUCAUGUGUUACCUUUGUGAUCUUUUUUUGAUUCUGAUCUAAUUAGUUGUAUUAGGUUGCACAUGCUGCAUGCGCAACUUUAGUUUGUCUGCCACGUAUAAGUUUUGAAAACCUUUGAACUCUAUCAUGGCUUGAUUAUUCAAUGUUCUGUUGGAAACCUUCUAGAUUAGAGACCACAAUUAAUCUUCCAGUCUUUAUAUAACUGGUAUAUACGCCGCAAGGACUAUUUGCUGCUGCUGAUUAGUUAAAGAUCAAGUUGAAGCCAAAAUAAAAAAGAAAAUAACGAGGAUAUUGCUGUAUUCACAUUAGUGUCUUCCUAAACCUAAAAUGGUAGGAAGCUUCACGCAUAUCUGACAUAGGACUCCUGAUCAACGUCUGCUAAACAUCUAGAGCUUCCCAUGUAUAUUUUCUUUAUCACCUACUUCAUGCACAUAUAAAACGAGACUUUUCAGGACCAUCAACAAAUUAUCAGAAAAAUUUCUCCAGUGUGACCUGAAAAUCUUAUAUUGCAUUCGCAUUUCCGUCGCUCCUGGUCCUUGCUAAAAUUUGUCCACUUUAUCCUACGUCCCAUUGCUCUUACUAUCUAAUCGAAAGCAUUUCAUGCACAUCCUUUUCCCGUUCUUAUUCUUCAUGUUGACGUAUGUUGCAGCUGACAUAUCUGAUAGGUUUUCACAAUCAUGGAGUUUAGUGGCCAUAAGAAGUGUGUGUAACUGUGGCCACUUAUUCUGUCUGUGUUCAAGUGAGUGAAGAAAGAUCCGCACACACAUUCACACCACCAGUUUGUGUAUGUCCCUGUGUCGGUGUUUGUUCUUGUAACGCAUGGAAUCAAUGUUUAAGGAAUAAAUUAACAUGCAUGUGUAUGCAUGCUGGUGUGCAUGUAUAUUUUUGUUGUCUGUGCAUGCCUUUUUCUUUCUGUGGAUGUGCUUGGGUCCUAGGAUUUUGAAGAGAGAGGCAUAUUAAAAAUAAGAUUGUGUAUGUGGGAGAAAGGUUUGGACCUUACUUGCAAUAUUGGCGUAAGGAGCAAGUUUAUGCAACUACUGAAAGUAAAUCGAAAAAAAAAUGGAUGAUGCUAUGGUGAAACAUCUCCAGCAAGACCUUACUGAGAUGGUUUAAAGGAGUUCUGUCUUUGCGUUCUAUAUUGGUGAAUAAAUCAGCAUAAAGAGGAAUGUAGAGGAAUGUUUGUAUGGUCUAUUUAUAUUAUGGCUUGGAUAUGCUUGGUUGAUUAGCUGACGAAGUGCUCUAUUCUGGUAUUUGAGAAUCUGCAACACUUGAUUUAGAAAGAACGACACUUUUAUUAUUGGUAUGAGUGGUCAUAGUAUUAGUUAGAUUUACUUCUUUCUGAUAUAUUUGCUGGAACUAAAAGAAACUAAAUAACAGAAGGCUUAUCCUUGAAUUGCGUCAACAGGUUAGACUUCCGGUAGGUCAAUUUAGCUCGAACAAGUGCAGACCCAUUUUGCCUAAUGGGUCGGCCCAACUUGCAAACUUUUGGUAGGGAAGCAGAAAAGAAGAUGCGAAGAGGAAGAGUGUGACAGAAGUGUUGAGGUGGAGGAUAAAGAAAAUGGGGGAAAGAUUGCAAGAGUUUAGGUGCAUGACAAUGUUCCUGAUGAAAGGUCACUGCAAAAGUCAAAGAGGAAGACAGGAGGGGUUGGUGAUUUUGAGAUUUGGGUGGGAAGCAGAAGGGUCAUGGUGAGAAGAGGUAAAGGGGGACUAUGGGUGUAAGGGGAGGGAGGUUAUGAUCUGAUCUGACUUGCAUCUGGUUGACUAAUCUCCUCUUAAACCCAAACGGUAUAAUCAUCAGGUCUAGUUAAACUAGUUUGUUUAGUUCUGGACUUUAGGUUGGCUUUGCCUGUUUGGGGUUUUGUAUUACCACCAUUUAUAGGAACUAAAUAGGAGUCUUCAAAGAAGUUUUGUUGCGGUACCAAGAUGAAGUGAUGUCAGUAUCAGCAUGUUACUACAGCAGUUGUAGACAAAAUUGUGCACACCACUUACUCUGGCUUAACACUAAUAAUAAUAAUAUAUACAAUAUAAAGCAAUAUAAUCUUAGGAGAUACUAUCAUUUUCCCUAGGAUUGAUAAGAGGCUUGUUGAGACUGCCCUUGAACUGGAUCAAGGACACUAAGAUUCUACAAACUAUGAAAUUUAACUUCAAUUGUUUUACCAACAAGAAUUACUUACAACUGGAAAUAACUGGUGAAUAGAAGGAAAAUUGGGAAAAUUCGAGAGAAGUUAAUGUGCUAAUCAAUAGCAUUUUGUAUAAUUUGAAUGUUCGUGUUUCUCAUUGAGCCCAUUUAAUUCGAACCUUAAAUUAAAUUUGGAAAUUUAACAAAAAGUGCAUAUUUAGACCAAGGUCUGUCCUCUAGGGUUUGUAUUGUGGAUGACCCGUAUUUUAGCAUAACUUGACCUAUUUGUUGCUCCAAGUUAGAUAGUCUAAAUCGGGUAAAUACUAAUAAUGGCCGCAAUAGUUUACUUGAAUCAUAAAUUGACUGUUGGGCUAGAUGUAUUCAUCAGAAUAUAAUGAUCUGCAUUUGAAAUUAUCAUUAAAUAUGAGCAGCAACAUUGUUUACUUUUGUGCCAUUGAGAUGGGUAAAAGACUAACAAAGUAUCUACCAUUCCUCUCUCUCUUAAAAAAAAAAAAAAAAAAAUCAAAUUUGAGGUCCAUUUAUGAAGUUAUCUGAAUUUGCACAAUGAUUUAAAUACCGAUGAUGGCAUUUAUAUUUGCUACCUAAUUUAUUGUUUAAAUAUUGCUUGUUCUUCAGAUUACAUGUAGCUUGCCGUGGAACAAGUAUUGCUGUUAGGUGGCGGGCCUUCAUAACUUAAACGUGUUGCGAAUAUUCGCUGUCAUCUUCGAACCGCGAUUUGGUGGAUGGUGGUCGUUUCUUGGUAGAUCCUCCUCAUAUUGUAAUUCUGAAGGAACUUUGGAUAUAUGUAGUAAUAGCAGUAGCUGAUGCCCUAACAAUGGCUUUUUGUUAUUUACGUCUGGUAGAUAACUGCGGCUAGAAACUUUCUAGGCCCUUUGUUGCUUGUUUAUGUUAGAAAACAGACGUACAUUAUUUAGUUCAUCUUUUUCCUUUUCUUUUGCUGCUGCACCACAUUUCGCCUCCAUUUAAUGUGAUUACUCAAGUUCCUCAAAAUUUGCCUUGCACUGAUCAUCAUAGAAAUUUUUAUUAGAUGUCCUGAAUGUAGAGUCCUUUCGACAAAAGGGAGCUACAAGGCCUUAGUAGUAGUGUAAUAUUGUGGCUAAAAGCACCGUUUUUAUAUUUUGGGUGACCCAAAUGUUUCCGAAAUUGUUUUCAAUCUUUUGUUUCUCCAAUGCUAUAAAGUUACGGUAGAAAUCUUCAUUGGAGGAGAGAAAAUUGAACAUAUUCUCAAAAUUUUUGGGCCAUCGAAAGCAUAGAACUAAUGCUUUUAGCCACCACGUUGUCAAACUAUGCCUAGCAGGUGUUCUCUGGUGAUCUGUUGCUGCCAAGGAAGUCCUACUGGUAGCUGUUGUAGAAGUGUUGUUUAGAUAAGAGCUGCUUGGAGAAGCACAAACAGCUUGGCAUUUUAAUAUUUCCCGCCGUCAACUGCUUGCGGCAGCAGCAGUCGAAAUUUCAAAUGCAUGUUAGCAUCUUGGUAAAAAGCUGGGAUAUAUGGAUGGAGUCCCUCUUCAAGUGAGUCAUCUUUGCUUUGCCUGGUUCGGUGAAAGCCGCGGUGCUAUGAAAAAUCACAGAUUGUUUUAGCUUCUGUUGCUUGUUUUUGAUGGAGCUGCUGCUGGUGCUCUGAAGAAAUAUGAAGUACAUCAAUUGUUUUUUUGUUUUGAAGGAGAGUAAUUAUUAUUUAUUAGUUUUUAGUGAAGCUAUAGAGGAAGAUGGACCAAAGAAGAAGUUACUUGCGAAGAUUGCGAGGGAUAUUCGACGCUGCAGUUACAAUACUUUUUAUUAUUACUUUCAUCAGCAACUAUAAGAUAAUAGUUUUCUCGGCUUAGGGUGGGAUGGUACUAUUUCGUACAUUUAUAUGGUCCAGCUAUUAUAUUUUUAUUAGUACAUUUAUCAUUUUCGAUGAUAGAACUUUCGUAUCGAUAAUUUAUACGACUAAAUAUAAUUUGAAGCAUUUAAACAUUCUCAAAUACCUAAUUUAGUAAUAUUUAGACUUCGAUGUACCUUAUUAUCAAAUGACUCUGUAUAUAAAUCAUAAUUGGUUGAAUUUUUAAUAAAAAUUUUUAUUUACUAUUUAGAUCAAAAUUAAUAACUCGGAUUUAAAAUUUUUUUUAAAAAUUAAUUCUUUACUUUUAAGAGCUCGUUUGAUUUUGACCUUUUAUUUUAUACUCGCCCAAUGAAUUUUAUUAUGAAUGCGAAAAAUUAUAAAAUUUAAUUUCUACAUAAUUCAAAUACUUCGUAUCAUGUUAUUGCCACGGAUCAUCGAGUCUCUAUGAUCUAAAAUAAUUUAUAAAAAUAUAAAGGCUUUCAAAUGUAAAGACUUUCGUACUUUUUUUUUGAAAAGAAGUAGGAAGCUAUCAAUUUCAUUUCAUUAGACAAAAUGAGCUAAGCAUACAAGAUAAAAGUUGUUGAGGCUUCUGAAGAAAAGAGAGACAUAAGUAAGAAAAAAUAAGAAGUGAAAGAAAAGGAAAUACAGAUAAUAAAAGAAGUUUUGGCUGAGAUAGGGGUCAAGCGGUUGGCGAUCAGUGGAUCUCAUUCCAAGAGGCCAGCAAGAGUUUGACAUGCUCAAUCGAUCAGGUAGGUUUGGGGAGUUUCGCUCAGAAGAUAAUGUUAUACCUCUCUGUCCAGACGACUCACCAGAUUGCCAACAAAAGGGUUAAACGUUUUGUUCUCUUCACAGUAUCAUUAGGCUAGUUGUCCUUAACUAGAGUACACGAACGUCGUCCGAGACGUCAGCGAGAAUCUCCGAACCAUCCACACAUAGAAAAAGGUAUCAAACAAACAUGCAGUUAUACAAGAGAUGAUCGCAGCUUUCCGCAAUAAAAGCACAGAAAGCGCAAUGUUGCUCCACCUACCGACCUCGUAUAAGCAGUCUAUUGGCCGUAAGAAUUCUUUUACGUAAAAGCAUCCAAAUGAAUACUUUAAUUUUAGCGGGGAUUUUUAGUCGCCAGAUAAAAGGGCUCAUCAAGUCUCUCUGUUUAGCGUCAGUGAGAAACAUAUAAAUGGAUUUGACGAUAAACAAUUGAUUUGAGGUCCAGCGCCAGUUGACCGAAUCUGGCUUACUGUUAGGGCGGAAGGGUUGAAGUAGGUCCCUAAAUGACGUCAACUGUCUGCGAUUUUUUGCUGAAUGGGACGCUGCAAAACCACGGCAGAUGAAGCGCCAUCUCUAGCCGUUUGGAUUCUAGCAUUGAGACACUUUAACCUUCUUAUUCCUUAUCCGGUGCAAUACCUACUGAGGCGCUUUGAAGACGGAGAGAUAGAACAACAGCAGAUCGGGGAUUGAGGCGCUUUGAAGAUGGAGAGGUAGAAUAGCGGCAGAUUCGUGAAGACAGAGUUGACAAGGAUGAGCCUAUCCCUUUGGGAGAGUAGGGUGUAAAAAAUAGUGUUAUAGCUCUACUCUUUAAGUAGACAAAUGGCCCAUCCGUGCUUGGAAUUACCAGGUGGAGUUUGUGCCAGGAGCGUGUUUGAAAUUUAAUAAAAUGGAGAAUCACAAAAUCGCCAGUUUAUUAAUGAAGCCAGAGUUCACUUUGAACUCAGUGACUCGAUACCGAUAUCAGAGAAAGUCAACCGUGGAAGUGAGCCCAACUUCAACACGAACAAACACCCAGCCCCACAUAGGCUGGCUGGAAACCAGGUCUGGAAAUGCAUUUGAAGCCAAAAGAAAAAAAAUUUAAAAAACAAAAACAAAAACAAAACCCACAGUACGAACGAGCUUCGCGCACCCUCCUUUUUUUUUUUUUUUUUUUUUUUUUUUUCUUAGGAGGGAGAUGUUGAUCAAGAGAAAAUCNUUUUUUUUUUUUUUUUUUUGUUUUUCUUUUCUACGCUGAAACACACGAGGGUACACGAAUAAAUGUUUUUCUAUGCUUAAAUACAACAACAUAGCACCUGAGAUACGAAAUUCUACGGUAAAAGAAACCACUAAACCAAUAUGAAAAGAAUCUUACUUAUUUGCUUGGCUCGGGUCAUAUUCACCCCCCCAAAAAAAACAGAAUAAAAGAAAAAGAAGAAAAAGAGCACAGGAUGAAGGUCAAAGAGACUUGGGGCCAUCACAAGUAAGUGAUUGGUGCAAAAUCAAGCAAUUCCUGUCAUGAGCUGCUGCUGGUGCUCUACCUUUCUCUCUAUAUUUGCUCCCAGAGAAAGAAGCUUGGCUUCGAAAUUUUCAUAGCCUCUAUCGAUAUGAGACACGCCGCUGAUCUCGGUCACCCCUUCCACCGCCAUUCCUGCUAGAACGAGGGCCGCCCCGCCUCUCAAAUCGGCGGCCUCAACUGGGCAGCCAGAAAGCGCAGCGCUGGGCCAGGAAUGAAAGUAUUGAGAGAGCAAACAAAUCUAUUUACACUUUGUUACACACACACACACACACACACACACACACACAUAUAUAUAUAUAUAUAUAUAUAAGAAAACGAGUGGAAUUGAUCUAGACUUCAGGUUAUUUGCAAAACGACUGUCCAACCUUGGAACCUGUUCAUUUACUUUUCUAACAUUUUAAUUUCUUUGAUUUUAGUCUUGAAAAUGUCGCCGAUGUUGCACGCACACCAACUCCGCAUACUGUGCUGUCCAUGAUGCAUCUCAUGUGUUUCUUCCAACCAUCUAUAUAUCAUGAACACUUCUGUAAGACUCGUGUGUCCGAUAUGGACAUGCGCAAACGUCCGUGUCAAACUCGUGUCCGACGCGGACACACCAUGGACGCACGUUCGAUGCGGGUUCAUAGAGCAUCUCAUUGAAAAAAUAUAUGUAGUCUUUUUAUUUUACUUUCUUUUAUGUAUAUAUAAUAUAAGAUAAUGAAGAUUUUAGCUUUUUGAUGAAUGCAUAUUAUUAACUAAUUUCGUGGUGGAGAUUGAAUCAUCAAAGAUGGAACGAUGGAGUCGCAGUGCAUAAAUGAAUGGAUGGACUGGCUGCAUGCAAUAGUUUCUCAGUACCGUCAUAUGACUCAACUCAGGUGACUUGCUGUUAAGACUAAAAUUUUCAAAAAGUUGGGCAGUCGUUUCAAAAUGAUCUAAAGUUCAAGAAAGUCAUGACCUGGGAGAUGCUGGGAGAAAGAAUUACCUUCUGUGCCUUUUUCCUUGGAUAAAUGCCGAACUUCCGGAGAGUCUGAUUCUGGCGCCGAGUUUCUGAAGCUCUUUCACUACCACCAGCAGAAGAAAAAUAAUCAAGGUUGAUCAGAUUUAACUUGACAUUAAAUCUAUGCUGUGCGCGUAGUAUUGAGUAUCACAUCAUGCAUAUCGGAUUUGGAUACGAAUGAAUUAGUUUUAUGUUACUUUUUUAGGAUAAAUUGCACCAUUAGUUGUUGAACAUAUCACGAGAUCUUACUUAGGUCACCAAAUUUUUAUAUGUUGAAAUUGAUGCACAGAAAUUGUGGUUAGAAAGAGAUGACUUGGCAGUUGAUUUAGUUGCCACCUGCCUUGUCAUCCCUAGAUUGACAUGGCCGCCAUUGGCAGUUGUCUUCGAGAGUACGUUACAGCUGAGUUACUUACCACAUCAUCUCUCCAAUAGGAAAAUUGAACAGCAUUUAACUUUGGACCGCAUAAAACGAUGUUCAGUACAAUACUUGCAACAAUUUAAAAUUUGGUGCACUAAGGGGGUGUUUGGUUUUCCAGAAAAUAUCCAAGAAAAUAAUUUUUAACUGGAAAAGUAUUUUCUGUCUGUUUGGUUCCUAGGAAGAGUAGUUUUCUUGGAAAAUUUUUUUUCCAUAUUUCAUAUUAAAGUAUUGUUUUCGUUUUCCAAAUUUUCUAUCUGGAAAACGAGAAGUGUGGAAAAGGAUGUUUUCCAUGGAAAACUUUUUUACCAGAGAAAUAGUUUUCAAGCUUUUCCAACUAACCAAACACACCCUAAAGUGAAAUUUCGCAGCAAGUUCAACGACAAGUAGUGUAAUUUAACUGCUAUUUUCUGGCUAGGAAAUUGAGAUCAUGAACCCAAAAUGGGCAUAUAGCUAGAUAAAAGCAGUUGAAAAUGUACCAACUUGAAACAGAAGAAACAACCUUAGAAAACAACCGAAUUGUUUUACCACAUACCGUGAUGCAUACGAUUCUCAAAGACAGAUUCUUCCACGACACUUAACCCACUACACGUUGUUAGUAACGCCAUGAACUGAGGCUGGAGAUCGGUAGGGAACCCAGGAUACGGAAGCGUUUUCAGAUAAAACCCUUGAAGGUCUCCAUUAUUUGGCGAACUCAGAGCAGAUACCUGUAAAGCCCACACAGUCUCUCAGAGUCCUGAUUUUUAAUACCAGGAAGAUGAGUUUACUACCUAAAAGAACUCCUACCUCAAGAAUAUGACGUCCCUUCUGAAUAAUCUUGCAACCAGCAGCAGAAAGCUUGUCCAUAAUACUAGUUAAAUGACCAGGGAUCACAGGAGACAAUGAAAUACAAGAGCGUGUAAUUGCUGCAGCUACCAUUAAUGUACCAGCUUCUAUCCUAUCAGGGAUUAUAGUGAAUUCAGCGCCAUGUAAACGCUUUUUACCAUUAAUAACAAGUGUGCUUGUCCCAGCCCCUUCAAUUUGUGCGCCACAGGUAACAAGAAACUUAGCAAGGUCAGCAACUUCAGGCUCCUGUAGGUCAGUUAGCCACAUUAAUUUGCAGUUGAAUAUAUAUAUAUCCUGAUAUCAAUGCAGCACCAAAGAAAAGAAAGUAAAGUUUCAUUGUUCAGAAUCUCACUCGAGCUACGUUAGAGAGUAUAGUCACUCCAUCAGCCAAAGAAGCUGCCGUCAUUAGAGUUUCGGUUGCUCCGACGCUAGGAUAAUCAAGAUGAAAUUGACCUCCGACAAGUCCUUUCCCAUUCGCUGCCUCGACACGAACUUUCCCAUGCCUACAAAGUGCGGCUACAUAUUCAGUGGCUGACGCUCCAGAUGUUAAUUAGUAUGUUAGAAUUCUUAUAGAAAAAUGCGGGAUUAUUUUGCGUUCCACAUUACUACAUAAACAUAUAUUGCGUCGCUAUUUCAUCCAGGCCAGGCUCAAGUCCAGCAAACAUUGACUCAUCUCGACCUCACCCAAAACAACAAGCCAAAAUCAUACAAUCAAAGUUGUCUUUUAAUUGGGUUGGCCGACAAGCACGAUAGAUAGUCUGACCGAUUUGCAUCCCCGCCGCAGUAGGGUCUAUGCAGCUAGAGUGGUUAAUUUGACCAAUUACCCAGUCCCGGUUAAAUCCGGAGUCAAUCCCAACCUGAACCUGAUUAAUACCUGAGGUACUACUGAUCAGCAGGGUCUGGUCACAAGAAAGGGCCUGUUAAAAUUCGGGUCCGGUUGUGGGUUUAGUAGAUGUAGGGCUUCAACCAAGACAUGGUUUCUAUCUUCAAUUAAAUAUAUAUUUGGUUAUAUAAUAUUAAGGAGAGCUGGAUUAAUAAUUGGAGGCUACAAACUUACAAUAGCAUCUUUAUUAACUUAUAAUUGCUUGCAUGAAUGAUACCUCCUUUUUUGUCAAUUUUUCAUAAUAGUUUGUUUAUUUGUUUCUCAUUAUUCUUCAAUACUACUCGUUUUACUUUGAUAUGAAGAUAGGUAGGCCAAAAGUAUAGAAACCACAUGUCCAAAUGAUUAUGUCGUAGGUCCGAAACAUCGUUUUCUCGACACUUUUCUUAAUCAACUGUCGAUUUCGUCCAAUAAUAGAAGAAUCUACCAACAGCAAUAAAUUACAAAGAACUCACAUCAUCCACACAAACAAGUAGUACAUGACAAACUAUAAAUACUACAACGUUUUAUGCAUCUCCUCGCAAGCAAAUAAACAAAGGGUUUGAGCUUCUUCAACAGUUACCUCAAUUGGACGACGGCGCCGAGCGCGGCGAGGCCGCGGAGGUAAAGAUCGAUCGGCCGCGCCCCGAUCCUGCACCCGCCCGGGAGCGCCACCUCCGCCUCGCCGAAGCGCGCCACGAGCGGUCCCAGCACGAAGAACCCGGCGCGGAUCCUCCCAAUCGCUUCCGAAUCGGGCUCCACCGAGGUCACGGCGCCCGCGUCGACGACGACCUCCCCGCCGCCGUGCUCCUCCACGCGCGCCCCGAGGGAGCGGAGCACCGCGGCCAUGGUGCGGGUGUCGGAGAGGUCGGGGACCCCGCGGAGCGCGAAGGCGCCGGAGGAGCAGCAGAGGGCGCCGGCGAGGACGGCGAGGGCGGCGUUCUUGGAGCCGCUGACGCCGACGUGGCCGGCGAGGCGGCCGCCGCCGGAGACGACGAGGCGGUGGUCUGCGUCGGCGUUAGCGGCGGCGUCGGCGGAGGCUGCGGAGAUGGGCCGCGGAGGGAGGCGGCGGAGGCGGAGGGGGGAGGGGGACGGGGAGGGGGAGGGGGAGGGGAAGGGGAGGGAGGAGGAGGAGAGGAGGGCCAUGGGAGGGUUGAGGUGGGACUCAUUGUUAGGGUUAGGGUUUUUGGAGUGGUGUGCGCUCCACGUUUUCACCGUGCUCUCUCUCUCUCUCGCUUCUCUUUCUUCUCUCACCUCGGUGCUCUGCUUCAGUCACGGCGCCGAGCUCCGUCUCGGGAGUCGAGCAGUGUGGCCGUAGGAAGAAGUAAUUAUUUCGUGCACCGCAUGUAUUUAAAAAAACAUUGAAUGCAUAUUGGUCCCGCAAAUAUUUAACACUGUAUAAUUUGGCACUUUCUCCGAUCCACGUAGCAUCCUUAAUUUUGGUUCAUUCCAGUGGCGAUGUUAUCUCUUAUCAGAGCUCUCUCUUUUCCCAUCUCCCACCUGAGCCUCUCUCCCUUCAUCUCCCCUGCCAGCUGGCCCUCUCUCUCUUCACACCCUCUCUCUCUCUCUCUCUUCCCCCUCUCCAGCUGGCCCCUUCUUUCUUCCCCUCUCCUACCUUUCUUCUCCCCCCCCCCCCCCCCCCCCCUUCUCUCACCUUCCCUGCAAGCUGGCCCUCUCUCUCUCUCCACCAACCGCACGUCUUCCCUAUCCACUUUGUCUCUCUCUCUUCCCCACUGUCCAGAUGCCCCCCUCUCUCUACCCCUCUCUUAACCGGGUCUCUCAUUCUCUUCCCCUCUCCUCCAAGUGGCUAUGUCACGCCCCGGGGUCCCUUUUAAGUUUGGAAAAACAGCGAAAACGACUAUUUUUUUUUUUUUUUUGAAGCACCUGACCCCAGAGUAUGUCAGAUCCGCCACAAAUACAGGAAAUCCACUGUUCACACGGACAGAGUCUCCCCUAUAUUUGCACGGCGUCGCACAAGUACAAAAGUACAAGCAGUAUACAACCACAACUAAAUGUAUAUACAGAUAGCUAUACGUUCAUACAUUUACCAUUCACACCGUAGUUUUACAUUCGAUGUUUAAACAAAAGUCCACGAAAAAUCUUUUAAAAACUGUUCCAUACGCGAAAACUUUUAUCUUUUAUAAAAGCUACCACGAGGGGUAGAAAACCUUUUAUUUUACCAAAUCCAGAAAUUCUUUUAUUACAUUCAUGAAAGUCCACAUAUUCCAAUGUAAUAAAAAUACUGAACCAUAUAAACUGACUAAGCUAUAACAACAGAAUAGUAGGGAUAAAACUAAACCGAUAAUCUGGGUCGGAAGCUCUAUCGACCGCUACGAACGUACCUCACGGCUCGUCCCAAAACUCAACGUCUGCAAUAUCUGAAAAAUAGUGGGGGAGGUGAGAACAUGUAAACAUGUCUCCCCUCCCAGUGGGUACCGCAAGCCGAAGAAGGCGAGGAGUACUCACCGGAUCAGGAAGAGAUAAACAACAGUAUGGGUAAGUAAAAUACAGUAGCAACGAUAAUGAACGAAUGAGAUAUAUAUAUGAAAGCACAACUACUGCUACUGUAAUGUACAACUGCAAGCAUACAAGGAUAUCAAAACAAUAGUAGCAAGACAACUAUAAAGAAAGAACUAGAAAUAUAUAUGCAACAACCGCUACUAUAGCUAUAUGCGUCAACCGGACGAGAAGUCCAAAAGUACCCAAUCUAAACCGCCGUGUCGGUCUAAGGACCUCAGGCAAAAGCCACUACCUGCUCACACCUGGCAUGUAACCCUAGCACAAAGAGAACACCGCUGGGCUCACGGGUCGGAUUUACGACCAUUUUUCCGGAAAAGAACACCCUCCUGCGGGGGAUCAACCCGCUGGUGUACGUGAAAUGCACUCGAGCUGCGGCGAUCAAUGCGGAUAUGAUCAAUAGCCAAAUGUCGGCAACCAGCCGACAAUCACCGCCCCUCGGGGCAAACCGACCAAUAGGUCAUCAAACUAUAAAGAAGCACAAGAACCGACCACUCAAGUCAACUAGGAUGGAACGACUCUACAUCCUCUCAACUGUAUGUAAGUAUUGACUAAUCAAGUCAACUGGGAUGGAACAACUCAACAUCCUACCAAAAAUAUGUAGAUACUGAUCAAUUGGUCAACUACUGUAUAUAUGCAAGAAUCGAUCAACAAGUCAUCUGAGUAUAUAAUCUAGAACUACCGUCGGCCAUGGCCGACAAUCCUACCCCUCAGGGUACACCGACCUCAAAGGUCAUCAAACGACAGAAGUCAAGAAACAGACCAACCCAAUACAUAAUGCAACAACCGACCAACCAGGUCAACAGAUAUAAGAUAAAAGCACCGAUCAACUAGAUCACCGAAACGAAGUACGAGAACCGACCAAUCAGGUCACCGAAACGAAGUACGAGAACCGACCAAUUAGGUCACCGAAACAAAGUACGAGAAUCGACCAAUCAGGUCACCGAAACAAAGUACGAGAACCGACCAAUCAGGUCACCGAAACAAAGUACGAGAACCGACCAAUCAGGUCACCGGUAUCACAUAUGGAUAAACUACUCUACUCCUACACAUGAUACUAAGCAUAGAAACAUAUGAGUAGAGUAUAAUAGAAACAACGGGGAUGCAAGCUCAAUAUAUAAUACGAAAAUAGCAACAGAAGAACAGGGAUAGAAGAAAUAUCACCGAGCGUGCACCACUGUACCGACGUCGGAUCGAAGUACCCACCUGUAUAAAGCUGAAACGGUCUCGCGAAGGCGGAGACGAAGCGACCGGACCUACGAAGGGUCCACCGGGUUAGAGUCUAACCCACAAACACAAUAACACGACCAUUCUCACACAAAUCCCAAAAUCAUAACCCCUCGGAAAUCGGUUUCUCAAACGCAACUACCGAACCAGCCGGAAAUCCCGGAAACCGUACCGAAACUCCACCGUCGCUCACCCGUCGUUUCCGAACCCUCGAGAAGACGCGGGUGACCAGCCAACAAGGCUCAGCGACGCUACAAUCAACCACGAGGCACCGUCGGAUGAAUUCCGAGUCGAACGCGCGUUCUAUCGGCGGAUUUCACCGAAAACGCUCCGGAAAUGACAGAUAGAUUUCCGCAAGGGCUUGGGGCCUUGGACGAUCAGUCCAGAGGUUAUCUUAAGCCUUAACCUGCUGCCAACAGCAGCCACAACGAAGCGAAACGCAAAAGGAUCCCUAAUGGCCCAUGAAAUCACAUUAUUUUAUGUGAUUUCAUGGCUCUAACGGGUCGUACCAGCAAACCAGGGAUCUACGGAGGUUGCCAUCGCACUUGCUGCAAGGUUUCAGCAUGCCUGAGGCCGUGCUCACCUUUCGGAGCACUGCCGGCAGCAACCACGCGCGCACGAGCGACGCGAACCUCAGCGAAUCAGUGCGCAUACUGUGGAAAACAGCCUUUUCUCACUAACCAGGGCACCGUUAACCUAAAUGGAGGUGAGCAUCGUGUUCAGCACGAGCCCACGAUCACCGUGCUCACCUCCCGAGGUGCCAGGGAGUCAUCGGAUCACCGAAAAAGUGACCGGAACGCAAAACAGCAGUGCUGGAACCAAAGUAAACUACUCACCGGAGCUGUGGGAGCUAGGGAUGGCCGCCGGCGAUCGGGCGGCGGGCGCUCCGGCCGGUGAUGGGAGCAGCAGGUCGGGGAGGUCCGGGGGAGGUGCUGGCCGGCGGCGGGCAGCAGCCGGUGGCGCGGCGGCGGAGAUCGGGCCCGCACACUUCCUCUCGGGCUGGAGCUUGCCGGCGGCGAGGCGGCGACCGGGGGAGGUCGGGGCGGCGAUGAUCCGGUGCCUGAGACCAAGGGGGAGGUGGUGCUCACCUCAGAGGGCAACGGCAGCGCUCGGGAGUGGCGCGGCUCCAAGGUCGGCCCGCACAGGACCCGAGCGGCGGCGGGAGACCUUGGCGGCGGCCGGCGGGGCGCGGGGACGGCCGGGGACGCGCGCGCCGGGUUGCUGGAGGUCGCCGGGGUCGACAGGGGGGCUUGGCCGCAGGGGAAGUGCGGUCCCAAGGCCCGCAACCUGAGCUCGGCCUGGCUCGGGUCUGGGCAGACCCGGUUGGCUGCAGCCUCUUCCGGCGGCUCCGGCGACGCUCGGGGGUGGCCGGGGCCGGCGGGGGAGGGCGCCUGAGGAAGGUCUCGACCAGGGGAAGGUGGUGCUCGGGCUAACAGGCCUCUCCAAGCACCAAGCUUAAACCGGUGGUGAGGUGGUCCAAGAGAGGAGGAAUAUUGGCUGCAGGCUGUUUCCGGCGGCCGGGGCUGCUCGGCGGCGGCCGGAACGCGAGCACGGGCAGGGCAGGGAGGUGCUGGGAUGGCAGGGGCGGCUGGGGUUAGCUGGGGGGUUCUAGGGUUAGGGUUAGCUCAAGAAACCCUAGGACAACCUAUAUAUAGGUGCGGAAAACUCGCGGAAAACCCCCUCGAAAGGAAUCUAAUUAAUCCCAGCUCUCAACCAGCAGUCGCAUAACGCACGAUAGUCCCUCUAAGUUCGAAAACUCGCAAUUCGACGCAUAAAAUAUAGGGCCUUUUCGCGAAUAAUCCGAUUACUCAAAUCAGCCCCUUCGCGGACUUUUCGCGAUUCCCGAAGAUCCGUCCGUCGGAUUUCCGAUCGGAUCGUACCAGCGCGAUCAGUACGACAGAGGCAUCGAAUCUAGCAUUUCGUUUCGCCCGAAAAGGUUCCCGAUUUGCGACAAAACCAUCCCUCAUAGGUUCCACCAAAAACCACAUAUAGACAACUAUAUGUAAAAACCAUUAAACCCUUUUUCUCGAAAUCCGUGCAUCCAAAUCCAAUUCCGUCAGUGCCAUUGGGUCCAGGAUAGUCGAGCGGUUGAAAACGAGCUAUUGGAAGGCUAUAUUCGGAGUCCGAUACGCGUCGAAAGUCCACUCUACUCCGCGGCCUCUCUGGAAAACCGGAGUUACUAUUCACUUAAGUCAAACUUCCGGGUCGCGUAACUUCUCCGUUUUAACUCGUUUUCUCCUGAAAUUCGACGAGUACACUUAUAAUUAUAUUACACACAAGAACAUCGUCAAACAAAAGGGUUUAAUCAAUAAAUCAAAAAUCUCAGUUAUUACAGGCUAUCUCUCUCUCUUUUCCCUGUCACACCCCAAUAAUCCCACAUCGGAUAGGAAUGAAAAUAUGAUUGGAUAUAUAAGUGACUUAGACAUUAGUAAUAAUAACUGGGCUUAAGCAUUUUGGGUCGGUGGUUGGGCCGAACUAGUUAUUGUUGCUAGUGGGCUGGAUCGUUACAUUUGGUAUCAGAGCCAAUCACCAGCCGGAAUUGUGCGGCGAGUCUCAGCUGAGGGCAUAGUCCGUACGACAAGGAAUCAUCAGCCAGAAUUGUGCGGCGAGUCUCGGUUGAGGGCAUAGUUUGUACGACAAGGUGAUCGACUAUGCCAGGGUCUGGAUCGCCUGGUGAUCUUUGCCUGUGUGUGGGGGAUUAUUGCGGUCUGUCACACCCCAAUAAUCCCACAUAUGAUAGGAAUAGGGAUGUGAUUGGGUAUAUAAGAGACUUAGAUACUAAUAAUAAUAACUGAGCUUAAGCAUUUUGGGCCGGUGGUUGGAGUUAUUGUUGCUAGUGGACUGGGAUGAACCGUGCACGGCACUCGUGCUCACCCUAUGAUGAGCUGUGUCCUACGUUCGUAGGCCAGGAUAGGUUGCAAGUGGGGCGCAUCCUUUCCCUCUCUCUCUGCUAACCCUAGGGAGUGGUGGCGGCGGCGGCGAGGAUAGCGCGACAAUGUCGACUCCCCCUUCAAACCCCCGAGCUUCGCCGUAUAUUUCCACUAAUAAUUCUCUCCACCCCUUUUUCAAUUUUUCAAAUUUGAAUUUGAAUUUUUCCUUUUGGUCUUGUUAGUAGCCAAAUUUUUCGACCCUUGACCCGGUCAAAGAUCCUUCUCAGGAAGUGCGUCGGGAUGAGGAAUGGCUACGGAUAGUGACUCUCGAAGUUUGCGCCCUUCGACAGAUCAAGCGAUUCUGCUGACGAGGGAUCGAGCCAGCCGGGUUCGAAAACUACUACUAUCUGUUCGGUUCGGCUGAAACGAAGCCGGAAGAAGAGUCGAAUGGCUAAAGCAACACGAGAUUGGGUCGGCUUGAAGAGCCGAAAUGACUUUCUAUUGAUUGAUUACUGAGAAGUAUAAGGACGGAUAUAUAGUUUACAACGAUUCGGCUAAUGAGGGAUCGAAUCAGCCGGAUCCAAAAAUCUUCACUAUAAACUGAAAGAGCCGAAUAAAUGAAAUAUACAAUGACUGGUCGGCUGAAAGAGCCGAAUGCCUAAAUAUAUAUAUAUAUUAAUAAAACAGAGUGUGCCCGAAGGGCAUACAGACUCUGCAAAUAUGUAGUUUACAACGGAGCGAUGCCCAUGGGGUAGACAAAUUCUAGGGUUCUACUUAAAAACUAUUCCUAGGAAAGCAGUAAAUGCGAAAAAGAAAAGAUUACAUUUAAACUACUCCUAGAAAAGCGAUAAAAUUGCGAGGAAAUAAGGGUGGUUUUUUGUUCACAGGGGAAAAGACCCCUAUUGCAGGCUUCGAAAUUACUAUUUAUAGUAAUAUCAACCCACAUUAUUGAUUGGUUGAAAGUAGUGGGGGGAGUGGUUAUAACCAUGAUCGUGGAAGUUACGCCCACUCAGAAGUUACGCCCCAUCGUGGAAGUUACGCCCCACUUCUCAACCGUACCCGCCUAAAACCUUCAAGCGCCUUAUUGCCGACUCCUGGUGUACCAUGAGUCCUUAUUGGCUCAUACGUAGGUUAGGUCGGCAUGUUAAUUUCAAUUUUGGCAUCAACAGGUCUAACUUACUAUUAGGGAGGUGAGGCAGUGCUCUACAACGGAUACGGUGCUGGAUCGCUUCAGCGUGCGGCGCACCAACAUUUCCACCACCCCAAGGUUUCCCUUUUUUUUUUACUUCGAAAAAAAAAAUCAAAAUUAAAUCAAAGUCCUCCCUUCUAACUUCAAAACAUAAUUUUAAAACAAAAAUCUUGCCCAUUACCUUUUCUCUUUUUUAUUUUAUUAUUUUUUUUUGUGGAACAAUAGGGUGGGGCGAUGGGUGCGCAGAGCUACGGAGGAGCGCCGCCGAGAGGAGCGGCGGCGGCACUGCCGCCGCAGGCCAUCGCCUCGUCGGGCAGCGGCGCUGCGGGGACAAGCCACUGACCCUCACAGCAUCAUAGAACGAGUAAGCUUACUCUUUUUUUUUCCUUCCAUUUUUGUUGCAUUGAAAAAUAAAAUAAAAAAUUAAGAAAAUUUUUAAAAAUAUUUAAAGUAAUUUCUAAUCUAUUUCUUGAAGCUCGAUCUCCCCCCCAAAUGAACCAUAUAGCCAAGAGAAACCAUGAACCAGAAUAGAAGAGCUUGCCCCACCCAUGAGUAAAUAUUUCAUAGUAGCCUCAUUAGACCGUACAUCUCUCUUGGUAUAUCCGGAUAAUAGGUAGGAACAUAAACUGAAACAUUCUGGAGCUACAAAGAUAGUUAUUAAAUCGUUUCGUUUGUUUUCGUGCGAACAGCUUCGCAGGGAGAGAAUCGCGGAGCGAAUGAAGGCCCUUCAAGAAUUAGUCCCUAACGCCAACAAGGUAAUAAAACAAUUUAUUUAUAAAAAAUUAAAAAAUACACUGUAAUUUGGGAGUGUUUUAACUUCCUACUAUUGUACAAAUGAUAGCUGAUGUUGCACAUGUAGUAUGUGAAAGCGCUUGUAAAGUUCAGCGCAGAGUAGUCUACUUCUUCGUUUGGUUCGGAUAUAAGCAAGAACUAGCUAUUACAGGAAUAGAUAUAAGUAUGGGGAUAAACAAAAUAGCAUUUGGAUAAAAAUUGGGUUGUUUCCGGGAAUAAAAAAAAUACCGUUGAAUAGAUAAUAUGGAAUAAGAAAAAUAGUGGGUAGUUAUAUAUAGAAAAUAGAGGUGUUGGUGGGGAUAGUUAUACCAGCUUAUUUUAGGUAUCUGAGAACUACUAUUCUCGGAUAAAAAAUUUGCGUUUGAGAUAAAAGGGGAUAAAGUGUUAUCCUUCCCCUUAUCCCAUAUCCAAAUGCUACCUAAGCCUUUGGAUAAAUCCUUAUAUUCUGAUAUUUAUUUUGUAUUACAUUAAACAUACACACACACACACACACACACACACACCUUUUAACAAUAUACAACUCUCUAGGACUAGCUGAUAAUUUAAAUAAAAUUCAGCCUGCGAAAAAACAACAACUUACGUAAGAUCUAAUAUCAAUGAUUUGUUACCUCAAAUAUUUACUGUUUAUAUAUUAUGGCCAAUUUGCAUAAAAAAUUCACUAAUUUUGGACUUUUGCAAAAGUAGGCCACAUUUUUCGUUUUUGCAGAUUCGGUCCGAAUUUGUGACACCCCAAUAGUCCCAUAUUGGAUGGGAAUGGGGUUGUCAUUGGGUUUAUAAGAGACUUAGACACUAGUAAUAAUAACUGGGCUUAAGCAUUUUGGGCUGUUGGCUGAGCCCAACGAGUUAUUAUUGCUAGUGGGCUGGGUCGUUACAGAAUUUUCAGCAAACUAACCAAAAUACCCUUAUUACUUUUUCUCUCUCCUCUCUCUCUUUUUUUUUUUCUCGUUCAUUUUUUUUUCUCUCGCCGAAGAGGCAACGGAGGUAGAGGCGGAAGCGGAAACGGCCCACCUCGCCUCUCACCCUCAUGCUCUCGCCCUCGCCCUCGCCCUCGCUCGCGCACCCCCCACCUUCCUCGCCUCCGACCCCGCCGAGGCCGCGCCGCAACUAUUUUUUUUUCCUCUCCGACUCUCCUCCACCAUCUACAACGACGAUGCCUCUCUCACCCUUCCCCGCCCUUCUUGUCCUCUCCCUCUCCCUCCUCCUCUGCCGCCUUCGACGACGACGCAUCUUCGCCGACGUCGACACGUGGAGAUCGCUGCAGUGCUGUAGUCUCGGAGCGGGGGGUGCUUAGCAGAACAGUAUAAAUAUCUCUCAAAGAAUGCAAUUUUCGUUUAAAGAGUGUAACUUUCAUCUUAAUGGAUACAGUUUACAUCUGAAAGAAUGCAAUAAGAGGAGAAACAGUGUAAAUAUUUCCCAAAUAGUUUAAUUUUUAUUUAAAGAGUGUAAUUUUUAUCUUAAAGCUGCAGUUUACAUCUUAAGUGGUACAACUUAUGUUCAUAAUAGUGCAACGUUUUUUAAAACAGUACAAUUUUAUUUUUAACGGUGCAAUUUUAUCUUCAUCUUUUUUUUUCUAUAAUUUUUUUAUUUUUUUUUCUCGCUUCUCCUAUAAUUUUUUUUUAUCACCUCUCUCUGUCAACGGCCACAGCGCCGGCGACGCCGCCGCUAAGGACCCCCUGCUCCGAGGUUACAGCGUCGCAGCGACCUCCACGGUGUUGGCGUCAGCGAAGAUGCGUCGUCGUCGGAGGCGGCAGAGGCGGAGGGAGAGGGAGAGGACAAGAAGGGUGGGGAAGGGCGAGAGAGACGUGGUUGUCGGAGACGGUGGAGGAGAGUCGGAGAGGGAAAGAAAAAAAGAGUCGUGGCGCGGCCUCAGUAGGGUCGGAGGUGAGGAAGGUGGGGAGUGCGCGGGCGAGGGCAAAGGCGAGAGCGAGAGCAUGAGGGUGAGAGGCGUGGCGGGCCGUUUCCGCCUCCGCCUUUGCUUCCGCUGCUUUCUUCGACGAGAGAAAAAAAAUGAACAAAAGAAAAGAAGAGGAGAGAGAAAGAGGAGAGAGAAAAAGUAAUAAGGGUAUUUUGGUCAGUUUGCUGAAAAUUCGAACUGAAUCUGCAAAAACGAAAAAAAUGCCCACUUUUGUAAAAGCCCAAAAUUAGUGGAUUUGUUAUGCAAAUUGGCCAUAUAUUAUACAUAGGAUUAGAUUAAACUAAAUUGGUUACUUUUGUUUUCAGGUUCCAUGAAGCUUCCUCUCCAAAUGAAGAUAAGAUGUGAAGGAUUGCAUUUAAUUUUUAAGUUAUAUUAUAAGUUUCAACUGUCAGCUUUUUUAAAUAAAUUUCCCGACAUUUAAUAUUGCAUUUCUCUUUGUGAUUGUACAUUGCGUUUAUGCAGAUUGAUCCCAAUCUACUUACCAUGUAAAAGACUAUAUUUAAUACUAUAUUUGUCUAUUUAUCAUGUAAAAACCUAUAUUUAAUACUAUAUUUAUCUAUUUAUCUGCAGCGAAGUGUGGGUUUUCACUAGUAAUUCUAUAAAGUUUAUUUUUAUAUAUUAUUUCUGUAAAAAUUUUAAUAUUUUUAAAUAUAUUUUUCUGAUUUAUUAUCAUUAUUGAACUAUUUAUAUUUUAAUAAAAUAUAAAUAAAAUGUUAAUUUUGCCAUCACAAAUAUCUCCCUUAAAAAAUCACAACAGUAUAAUAUAAAAAAAUAAAAAUGUUAAAUUAUCUUAUAAACUAAUCAGGGUUAAGUAUUUAACUUAUAGUUAACUAAAUUUUUCUAACGAAUUCUAAUGGUACAGACAUAUUUGAAAAUAUUAGGAUUUUUGUAGGAACAACAUAUAAACGUUGAACUUUAUGGCUAUAUUUGGUUCAAAGGAUAAAGAAAGAAUAAGAAAUUUAUGCCUCUUAUUCUUCCAAACGGUGUCAAAUAACGCCAAGAACUACUAUUUUCUUCUUAACGGGUUAUUCCGGAAUAACCCGUUAAGAGGGGAGAAUAGUAAUUCCACCUAUUGGGUGGAACAAGCUAUUCUCUACCUUAUUCCUCUACUAAUUAAAUUAUAAAUAAUUAUAUAUUAUAAUUAAUUAAUGCAAUUAAAUUUUUUAAUAAUUGACUAAUUAAUUAUUUAAGUUAUUAAAUUAAUAAAAAUUUAAAUAAUAAUAUAUUUAUAAUUAUUAUUAUUUAUCUAAUUAAAUAGUUAGCCAUAUAUUCAAUUAUUUACUAAUAUUUAUAUUAUUUAAAUAAUUAGUAUUUUAAUUGAUAUAAUUAAUAUAUUAACUAAAAAAAUAAAUGAUUAAAUAAUUAAUUACUAUUAACAUGUCGACUUAUUUUUUAUNAUAGUUAUUUACUAAUUAAUUAGAUAAAUAUAUCUCAUAUAGUAAUUUUAAUUAAUUUAUAAUGUAAUUUUGAUUAAUUUAUUUAUUAACUUAUUAAAAUACUAAUUAUUUAAAUAAUAUAAAUAUUAGUAAAUAAUUGAAUAUAUGGCUAACUAUUUAAUUAGAUAAAUAAUAAUAAUUAUAAAUAUAUUAUUAUUUAAAUUUUUAUUAAUUUAAUAACUUAAAUAAUUAAUUAGUCAAUUAUUAAAAAAUUUAAUUGCAUUAAUUAAUUAUAAUAUAUAAUUAUUUAUAAUUUAAUUNNNNNNNNNNNNNNNNNNNNNNNNNNNNNNNNNNNNNNNNNNNNNNNNNNNNNNNNNNNNNNNNNNNNNNNNNNNNNNNNNNNNNNNNNNNNNNNNNNNNGUGUAUCUAAAGAUAUAGAGCAAGUAUACGUAAGUUGUCUAACAACGAGUAGAAACGAAAAAGGGAAACUUAACCAAGGGGCGCAAAAGAUAAAAUAUAACAAUCACAAGUUUCAAAGCUAGUUAUAAGGGAGUGUUUCUUACAGAAAUGGGGUACAGGUCUCAUUCAACUUCCAAAACAAAAUCGAGAAGAGAGGAUAGACCACUUCGUCGAAUUCCUCGUAGCUAAUCGAGGGAUUCCUUGUCCCCAUCCGGAGCUCUCCCUGGGGGUGGCAAGGCUCUGAAAGAAACAUAAACAGGGGGCGUGAGAUAUAAUUAUAGUUCAGUGGCGAAUUACUGACCUUAGCAAAAUGCACAACUAGCGCAAGUCCAAACCAAUCGAGCGAUAUAGAAAGGAAAAUAGACAACUGCAGGAAUAAAAGCACCUAUAAAAGAAAAUGCUUUAUUACUGCUACUGCCACAAGUAUAUGUGUAAGACAGGAGUACAAUCUACUCUUAUAUGAUCCAAAUAUGCCCCAAUACAUACUCUAAUGUUCUAAUCACGGCUACCGUUGCUAUGCGAUGGCCACAGUCAUACGCUAUCACAGUAUAUACAAUGUCCAAAUGUCCGAUACUAUGCUAAAGGGCACUAUCCAAGUUUAAACCAACUACUAAUGCCUAUCAGUAGUGAAUUGUUAUACACCAGUUAAAUGUCAUGUCUCAAUCUUGUCUCUUAGGGACCGUACACAAGUGUAGGUCCGGCUUGUGCGCCGCUAGCUGCCUUGUGGUAGCCCUAUCAUUCCACGCUAGAGACAUGAGUCUGUCGCGCACAGACGACCCUAACAGGCGCCUCGCCCUACCGCCUAGGCUGCGUGGGUAGCUCGGUCAUUCCCCACGGCUGGAAAUAGGCUGUCCACCGCGACCCCUACAUGCAUCUCAUCCCGGCCGCCCUGCCGCCCCGCCGCUCAACCUGCCGUCCGCAAAAGGCCAACUCGGGUGGCCGGCUUGUAGGGACGACCUCACAGCAAUGUGCGGAAAAAUGAGCACAAAAUGCAAGCAAGCGAUUGAGUUUCUAUCAUGUAUGGAUCUCGUAUCAGUGUCUCUGAAAUAGAUAGCCAUAGUACCCAAGGGAUCUGUCUAUGUCUCAAGUGAAGUCUCCCAAAUUCACUUAAGUCUUAGUGCCUUUUGUAGACCGCUAGAACUAUUACGUAUAUACCAGCUGGUUCAAUUUUUCAUGCCUCUUUAUGAAUUUUAGUUUACUAGUGUUUCAUACAAUGUCCCAACUCAAUUUGCUCGCAUUUAUUCAUUAGAUUAACUAUACCAAUUUCCAAGUCCAAUGCCUCUUAGACAUUAGUUACUCUAUCAAUAGAUAGGUUAAUACGCAAGAUGUCCUUGCCGAUGAUCUCACACUUGCUAAUAUGUACCUAGCAAUGUGAUUCCCAAUGAUAUAAUAUUAAGCAUGCAUCUAUCCACUUAACAACAUGUUUUCAUGCUCCGUAUUGCAACUAUCUAACGAUAGCAAUAGUUCUGAUAAUGCUACAUUGCCCCCCCGGGCCCCCCCUUACACUUUCCAAUGAAUACAAUUUAGCAUGAAUUUUUUUUUCUUGUAACUGUAUCAUACACAUACAAUUCACUAUAUUAUUAAGUUUUGAUAUAUGCCUCUCUUAUGCAUUAAUAUGCUGGCUUAUUCAAUAGCUCAAGCUCAGAUGUCGCUUACGACAUUAGCCUCUCUAACUGCACAAGUUAUUCAAGUUCAAAGCCACUUUUAUGGCUAAUGUAUUCUCUUAUGGUCCAAAUGAGAAUUUAUGUCCAAGGCAUAAUUAAUUUGUCAUGGUUUUAUUAUAUGGGAGCAUGAUUUCAGUCCCGAGUUGAAUUUGCUAAAAACCCAUUCUGACAGUAAGUCUCAAACAUGCAGGUUCUCUACUACAUUAGAGGGUCCGAAUGCAUGUAUAUAAACAUGUGGCAUUUAUUAUCUGUCAUAUUCACUAAAUGCAUAUGAUCUCAAAGCCAACAAUUAGAUGCUAUCCAAUUUAGGGCAAUGCCAACACGAACUCUCUACUACAUUAGAGGUCCGAAUGAUUUGUAUAUAACAUAAGCAUUUCAGCAUUCUAAAAUUCACAUAUAGCAUCUAUCAUGAAAAUCGUGAAAUUCUAUUUUUACGAUAUUAAAAUCCACAUAAAUGAGAUUUUUUAUUUGUGCGAAGGGUCCCCACCGAGACUCUACGCGCUUAGUGCCCCGACUCUCUUGCUCAAUGACUUUAGGUGAAACAUUGACUCACGAUGCUACGAUUCCGAUUUUGUUGAUUUUUUUGUUGGGAGCUUUACGCGCGAAGCUGCAGGCAAUCUGUACCGAAAUCCGGCUUCCUUCAAUAUCUUCGGUAGCUCGUCGUAUGCGAACCGACUUCGGCCAGGUAGUCAGAAACCUAGCAAUUUAGGUUAUAUACAGGCUCAAUCUAGAGUCGACCCUCACGAUAUUACGAAAUCUUCAUUUUUGACCUAAAUGCAAUUUACCCAAAUAAUCCAAAUUAAGAUGUGAGCAGCAAAUGCUAGAAUGCUCAUUAGAGGACUACCGUAGAAGCACUUAAAGCUAAGGAUUAAGACAAACCCAUAGCUACCCAAUGGUGAACGCCAGACGCACGAAAACACGCGCGAUCAGAGCGCACGAAGCUCGAUUCCGUUCGCUGCCCACGCGUUCGCAAGCUUUCUCCGCCGAACGCCGUGAUUUGGGCGAAAGAUCUCUGUAGAGAGAUGACGACGAGAUAUUUUUUAGAGGGAGAAAAGGGAGGGGUUUCGUCUAACUACAAUGAAUCGUGUGGUGUGCCGGUGGUGGUAGUGGCUGGUGAAGAUAGAAGAAGAAGCUAGAAGCUUUUACUUAUAGUCUUACCCCCAAUAGUUAGAUACACUAUUCACUUCAGGCACGUUCGAAAUCUGACUAUUUUUUCGCUGGGACGCCUCUGAAAAAUGCCGGUUUAGUUCAAAUUUUACGUUAUGUUCGGUUGUUUGCUUAACUUGACGAGAAAAAAUUUAAUUUUCGUUUCGACCUCCGUUUAUGGCACGAAAAGCUCGUACGAACUGUAAUUCUUUAUCAGAUCUGUCGGAUUUUACUUUCCACCCUUUCUGAGGGGACGAAUGUCAGUGAUAUGAAAUUUAAACUUAGCUCAUAAAAAUAAUUCUGGAUUUCCUCCAGUUUUUUAGAAUUUUUGAAGAUGUGAAUUUUCUGGUUAAAUAACCAGGCCGCUCGAUUCACACAGAAAAUUCAAAAUCUUCUGUUCUCGCUCCGAUUUCCGCACGAGCCGUUCCCGACUUAUAUUUAACUUCUAUAAGUCCAAUAAAAAUAGUAUCUCACACUAUUUUUAUUUAUACCCUUAUUAUAAAAUCCGGUAUGCUACAGGGCAUUAUCCACACCCCGCAACACAACAGUAGCCAAGUAGGCUACGCAACCUCUACUAAUCAACUGCCUAGCUCGAGAGGAUCUAAUCGUCAUCGCAAACAGCGAACUUUGGCAUCCUCGGUACACCACCUCCGCCUGCCCCAGCUCUCUAAAUGUCACCGUUCGAUUCUUGCAAUCGAUGGUGGCAAAGUAUUUAGUUAACCAAUCCAUGCCCAACACAACGUCAAACUCUCCGAGUUUCUGCAAAGCUAGCAAGUCUAUGGGCAUGAUCCAAUCUCCAACCCGAAUAGGGCAACUGGGGCAAAAUUUCCGAAUGUCCAAAGAAUGGUCGGGUACAACAACUCGGCCCGGGUGCAAUAAGGAUAUAAGUGGGAUGCCAUGCAACUCGGCAAAUAGUCGAUCAAUGAAUGAAUGCGAUGCACCGGUAUCAAAUAAAGCUCUAACUCGAAUACCAUGAAAUAAAAUGAUACCGGCGACCACAUUCUCGGCUGCCGCCGCCUCCUCAGUCUCGGUCGCGUACAUGCGCCCGCUCGGGGCCUGUCGUGACCCCUCCGCCUGCCGCAAAACUGGCGGCCGCCCUACCUGGUGAUGCGCAAAAGAUGUCCCCUGGCUGGGACCUGGCGAUGCUGGUGCAGACACCGAAGAUAGCGCUGGCGCUGGACUCCUCGGACAGUCCGACUGAAAGUGGCCCUCCUGACCACACAAGAAGCACCUGCCCCGACUGCGUGAACACUGUCGUGGGUAAUGAGGACCACCACAGAUCACGUAGCGGGGGGCCUGACGACGAUCGGGUCCUUCUUGCUGAGUAGACUGGCCACGUCCUCGCGACUGGCUCCGGCUCCUGGGGUGCCUCGGCGGCCUCCGUGAGUGCGUCGGACUCACACCCUCAGCCGCGGGCCUCAUGCCCUUCCCUUUCUCCGAGCUCUCGCGACGCUCCUGCAAAUCCGCCGCUCCUGCCUCCACUAUCAAAGCUCGAUCCACAACCUCUCGAUAGGUCUGGAGGUUGGAAGACAGCACCAACCAGAAGAUAGAAGGCCGCAAACCACGCUCAAAGAUGCGGGCCUUGUCCUCGUCGUCCCUCACAACAAACGGUACACAGUGUAAUAUCCGGGAGAACUCCCUCUCAUACUCAGCCACUGACCGCUCAUCCUGGUACAAGCUGCGCAAAUCCUGCUCCAUCUUCCUCUUGACGCUGGUAGGAAAGUGGUGCGCUAGAAGAAGCUCCUUGAACCUCGUCCAAAUAAUCGCUGCCAAGUCGGUGUUCGGGUUGCCCUGGAUAUCCAACCACCAACGGUAGGCCUCGCCGUCCAGAAAGUUAGUGGCGAGCCAAACUCUGUCCCGCUCCUCUACAAAGGUGUCUCGAAACAGCUUCUCCAUAUGCAUCAACCACUUCUCGACAAUCUAGUGGUCGACGUUCUCGCCAUCAAACAUUCUCGCGCUACACCUCCUGAACUCACUGAGACGAUCCAUGAGCCGAUCCCGCUCAGCUCCCUCGGCCAUCACGGGGUAUGCCGCCCCUGUCGCCGGUCUCUGAACUGGUAGUGCCGCAACCACCUCCUCCCGAGGUGCGGUCGCCGGUGCCGCACGUGAAGAACUGGGCGCGAGGGACUGCGCCCUCAGUGCGACGUCCACCACGGGUGCUGGCGGUGUGGGACCCUGGGUCUCCCUCGAAGCUGCUGCCUGCUGAAGUAGGAGGUCCUCAAGAUGCUUCAUCCGCGCCUCCUGCCGAUGGGCCACCUCAGCCUGUCGCUGCGCCGCUGCCGUCUGCUGCGCCAACAGAUCAGUGAGAACCGCAAGCUGGGCCCUCAAGUCAUGGACCUCACUAGAUCCAGAAGUAACGGAGGUCUCGACCUCCUCGGGGUGUGCCGCAUCAUCCGCCCCGGCAGACUGGGAGCGUGUAAUCGGCAUCGUCACUACAAAACAUAAAAGCGCAAGUUAGUAACCCACGCUAUCGCAUCCCCGCUCAAAUAAAUAAAACCCCAAAUCAUGCGAAAGUAAGGAAGUGUCCUUCACUACUAACUCCCGAUGUUACGUUGUCGGUCGCCAACGUAACCCCCCGCGAAGUUAGAAGCCGUACACUCCGAUCAAACUCUAACUUUUUAGAGUUGUCAUAACCCAAUCGUAAUACUUUCGCUCACAAGUCAAUUAUACCUCGUCUCUCACGAGCCUAAUUCCUAUAGUCCAACCGGCCUAAGGUUUGCUAGGUCCUCUACGACUCAACCCUAGGCUCUGAUACCAAAUUAAUCUGUCACGCCCCGGGACCGGCGGAGGCCCUCCCAGUAGCGUGCCCAGACCCGCCAUAUGUCUACACAUAUAAGGCGUCUACAAUAAAAGCGGAAGUAAAAGCAAGAGAUAGAACAAAUAGAAUGAAUAGCAACUAAUGAUAUAAGAGCAAGUAAAGUUCUAUCAUCUAAACCAGAGUAAAAGAAACAUAUCUAAACAAUAAAAGUAGCCAUAAAGUGGUACAAUAUCUGUCUCAAAGGUACACAAAAGGGUGGUCUCUAGUACACUGGUACAACUCUCAACCUCUCCAAAAAGAAAUACAUCGAGAGGUAGACCACCUAAACUCAUCUCUCGCUGAAGGGCUAACUCGAAGCGAUGCCCUUCCCACGGUCCCUAGCCUCUCCCGACGUGGAAGGCUCUGAAAGAAAAUAUAAAACAGAGGGCGUGAGAACUAUAAUUUAUAGUUCUCAGUGGGCAAUUACUGACAUCAGUUCAAUGCACCACUAGGCCCCAAAAGAAAAAGGUAAGUCCUAGAUAGUGAUAACAAUAAAUAAAUUGCAAAUAUGAAAGCAUAAUUAAAAGCUACACUAAUGCAUUGCAAUUAAACAUGGCAUUUAUAUAAUGCACCUUUACCUUGUCAUGAAUGCUAUGCCUCUACAUGGCCACAUGGGAUAUCAUGAGAUACUUUAUGAAGUUAUGAAAGUGAUACUUUAUCAUAACUACAAUGCGUGUAAGAAGGCAAUAAACGACGUCUCCUAGCAUACUACAUGUAUAUAUGCAUACUCAUGUGUCCAACACUAUGCUAGAAGCAAACCCAAGUAAUCUAAUUACUACUCUCUAUCUAGUAGUGAUUGUCACACACUCAAUACUGUGUCGGUUUCCAUUUCCAAUUAAGGACCUACCCAAAGUAGUCCAGCUUGUGCCGCCUAAGUGCCUGUGGUAGCCCAACAUCCCUACUCUUGGAAUGUGUCGCCGCACUCUGACCUCUGAUAGCUUCUUCUUCAUAACCGCACGGAUUUGCGAAAAUAUAAUCGCCGUAGACGCCAAACUCCGAUCCGGCUUCGGGAGACGACCGACUCACAAGCAGUCGAAGAUGAGUCACAAAGCCAAGCAAGCAUCAUCCAACGUCUCAUAUCUCAAUCCUCGUUCCUAAACAUGUGAUCGUCACUACAUUCCGAAGAUCUAGUUCAAUGUCACAAAGCAAGUUCAACAAAGCACUAUCCAUCGCGGCGCUAGGUCCUCUUGAUGACACUUAGGCAAUUGAUUUCAACAUAAGCCAAUCCCCGCAAUGCUAACCACCAGGUUCACAGCAUUGCCGCGAACUCGAUCCGCUUGAUACAUUACUUCUCUAAUUCGGCAUUCAUUCUAUUCAAUAGCCUCUAUAUGGCGAUCUUGUCAUCUUUCAUGCUCACAAAUUAAAUCAAAGUUUAAAUGCAUGAAUCAAGCCCAUUUACCAGCUAUAUGAAGUAGAAAACCAAUCUCAUAAAUGCGAAAUGCAAAACGCAAAGUCUCGCCAACUUCUACUACUACAUAGAGGUCUAAAAUUUUACUAUAUGCAAUAUGGCAUUUUAAGCAUUCCUAAUAAUUCACAAUAAAUACAUACUAAGCAAGGAAUAUGCAUGCUUUUUUGAAUAACCGAUACUUAUUCAUCAACAUUAUGCCAAAGAAUUCCAUGUGUGGCUAGUCAAACCACCGAACUCGUCGCGCUAGGGCCCCGUUUCCUCCGAACAGGAGUUGUCCAAAGAGAUCUCAAUAUCCUAAAAGUAUUGAGCGAAGAGAUACAUCCGCAUUACGAUCAACAUAAGAUCAAUAUUAACCAACAAGACAAAAGGGCUAAAACUCACACUCAAGGAAGAAAUGUCAACCCCGGACCCGAUACUCAAUUUGGGCCGGUCCCUGAGCACGUCAAUCAAGACGCCAACGGACAGAGUUCCCCUACCGCCACAAGCCAUGCACAUUACAAAUCAAACAAAAUGCAUCUACGGAAACAUACAACACGCUUACACGAGUUAAGGCAAUAGCCAAUUAGUGAGAGAAGGAACAAACUAAACAUCUACAACAAUAAUAUGCAUCAUUUUAAUCAUAUACAUUGCAUUCAUUCUUACAUUUGGAUUCUCUUGUAUUUCAUUACAUCAUUUCAUCAUUUCUUCUCUUACAUCACAUUUUUCUCAAAUGAGCUUUCAUUCUUAUACUUUACCAUCACUAAUCAUCAAAUACAAAAAUGAACAAAGGGUAGCUACUAACAAAAUAAACCCAACUCGACUCUGGUGGCCUCUGUCUAAGGCCGGAUAACAUUUGCCUCGUCGCUCGCUCGUUCGCUCGGUCCCGGCUCUGUGGAAUAGUGGGUUAAACAUACAACAAAGUUCCAGUGGUUCGGCCCCAACAUCACCGACCUUCCCACUAGGACUAACUCAGGCAUAUAAGAAAGAAUAAGCUGUAUAGUAACCAAUCUAUCACAUGAUCCUAAUAUGCCUGAAAAAUAGCAAAGAAAUACGCUCAACAUUAAAAGAUGCAGAUUUAUGCAAAUUUUCUCGUUCUUAUAUCUUUACACUUUGAUCUUUUUCUUUAAUCUUUGCUCUUUAAUCUCAAGGCUAACACCGGGGUUUUGCCACAUUAACUGCUUCACAUAAGUCCAUCAUCGCAGAACUCACACCGCUAGGACCGUCUUCGGUCUACUCCAACCCGUGAUGCAUAACUCCGGACGCAUCGCCAGGGGAAGCGACCGCCCUGAGCACCGAACUCAUAGCAAGUAUAUCGAAUCCUUAACUCCAAAGAUUAUAAGUUCAAUCUUGACUACACACUAACUCUAGUGUUCUUCACAUCACUUUAUGUUGCCACUCUAGCAAUCAAUUUCUCUUUUGCAUUUCUUUUACUUUUGCUAACUCUAGCAAUCACAUUCUUAUCAUUACUUUACUUAGCUAUUCUUUAGCUUCACAUCUUUAACUUUACAACGUUCUUUAUGCCCACACUUAACGUAGCUAUUACUCAUUGAUAUCAUCUUUACCUCGCAUUAGUUCUUUGCCUCACACUAACUCAGUGUCACUUUAACAUUUUUCAAAUGCCACUCGAUCUAUGUCAUCGUGCCACUAGGUUCUUUUGGCUCCACUUUGUACUCCACAUUUCUCUCAUACAUACAUAUAGGUUUUAACAUUCAUAAGGUCCUGACCCUCACAUUAAGCAAGUUUUACUCACAUCAUGCAACAUCACAUUUUUUAUCAUCACUUUACCUAAAAUGCAUGCAACAAGUAUAAUAACAUAGCUCAAUUGAAAUGACACAUUAGGCAUAAGGGAGAAGUUCAAACGAGUUGGAAGCACCACCCACCUCGUAGGUCUCUUUAGGUGCUCCGACGAUUUCUUGGGAUUUUAGACACCCGGUUCACUACCUACAGGAAAACGAACCCUAUUAGCCAUUUUGCUCAUAUUUUACUUUGCUUUUCGUAAUGCUAAUCCAAGCGCACAACGCGUCGGAAAUACCCCCAAUUAGGUUUUUGAAAGGUCAAUUCACUUAGAAAUCUCCAAAGAGCAAAAGCCCACAAAUUUUGGUACUCUAGCUCCAUACAUAUACUAAAACCUAGGGUUUGAUCUCAUUAGGAAGCAAAAGUAGCUUCAAUACUACUCCAAAAUAGUCCAUUCGAACCAUCUUUAAACAAAGCAAUAACCCUUACUUAAAGGUUCACCAUGAGAGGUGAUGAACCUCACCUCAAGCCCUCACCAUUUUCAUGGCCUUGAUCUCAAAAGAAGCAAAGGAAAAGCUUCAAAUACCAAAUGGUUCGCAUAAAAUCUAUUUUAGUCAUUUCAAGAACUCAUUCAGGGAUUUUAACUGAUAGUAUGGAUCAAAGCUUACCUACAAAAGCUUUCCUAUGUUGCUCCAAGGAGUGAAGAAGAAGAGGUAGGCUCACUACUUGAAUCUUCUUCCUUCACCUUCUUUCCCCUCUUGUCCUUCCUUUUCUUUCUUAUCUUCUCUCUCCUUUGGUCUUCUAGAAGGAGAGAGGAAGAUGAGAGUGUGAAGAGGGAGUAGAAUGAGAGAAACCCUCAGUGUCCCUCAUACAAACCAUUGGGUCCUGCAAAAGCAUCAAUAACCCCUCAACCUUUAUACUCCUUCCACAAGCCCCUGGACUGGGCUGUUCGCGCCAGCAGGAACCCGUCUCCUCCUUCAGUGGACCGGUUCCCCGAAGGUCGUCCCAGCGCAGCAGAAGCUGCCUGCGCGCCAGUGCCAUACCGGUCUCUCUUUGCGGGACCGGCUCCUCAGGCAAGGAUCGUAUCCGAGAGCUAAAUUUCUCAGAGACUUAGCCGAUAUUGGCUGCACAAAUCAUAUCGCGUCUGGACGUCUUAUCCACCUGUCACUCGCACCCGGAUACUCGUUCCCGGGCACAUCGACAAAUCCGCCGUAAUACAAAGAAAUAUCCCUUGUAUACGAAGCGUCAAAGUAACCUUAAAAUAACGAUACACAAACAGUACAAAGAGCUGCUCCAACAAAAACAAAUAACUGAGUUCAUAUAAUAUACUAGAAUACACAAAAUACAAGGUUACUCGCACUGGCGAGUAAACAACUAAAUACAUAAAUCCAAAACAACAACUACCUUGCAGUUAUGAAAGCCUCUAGCUCUGACUGUCGGGCUAGGAGCUCUAGCUUCGCAACCCCUGCCUGAUCCUGGUCGCGCGGAAUAUCAGCAGCGCACCUGUGGCCGUGCAAAACAGAGUAACAACUGGCGUGAGACACUACUGUAAAAACAGGUAUGUCUACCCAGUGGGUGCCGCCAAACAACAUCGGUCUAACCCACACGUAAAGUUACAGAAAGAGAGCAAAAAAAAGUAGGAAAAGCAGAAGUACACCUACGCGUAUCAAAUCAACACGCCAUCAUGCCUCACACUAACCCAAACUGUAGGAAAUGUCAAAUCUGACCUAAUCCAAUCGGACUGUAAACAUAUCCCUCCUUUGACUGAAUACACGUCCCUGCCGUUCGACUACCAGCUCCCCCCACUAUAACUUGGUCUUGGAGAAGCAAUCCAACGGCAUAGCGACACCAACCGCGAAAGCACAAAGCCUGACUCCGGAGUGCACUCGUGGCCUACCCACCUGAGUAUCAGCGUAUCCUUCGAGCUCAAUCAGCUCCGACCAUAGCAAAGUCCAAGUAAUGAACUCAACAUGAUCCAAACAACCAAUCAGGUAAACGUCCCCCGCACAGGUCUACGCCAAAAUAAGGCUGAUACGGGCCACCGUCAAUCUCUGACGGCACCCAACAGUUCCGAAACAACCUAGAACGACCUGGUAAAAAUCCACAUCGCGAACCAGCACGAGUGUAAAUACAUUCUAGACUACCUGGAGUACUCGUCUCGAAGAAACUGCGACAGUACAAUUUUCUAACGGCUCCUAGAGCUAAAUCAGGCAGUUUAUACAGGUGACAGGUCCAAAUCGCAGGUUUUCUCCUAAUUCAAUUUUCAAGUCCAACAUGUAUAAUCUACUUAAUUUAUAAAACAUGCUCCAAAAUUCAGAUUUCACAAUCUACAAUUAAUCCAUGAAUUUGAGCUAACAUUAAUUACCGAAAUCAAAAUCUAUACAUGUCGACCAAUAAGAACUUAGGAGUAAAGCCGAUGUAACCCACCUCGCACGCAAAUCCCCGGCAGCGAAACACUCUCACAGCUGUGGCUCCACCUGCUGGGUCGAUCGUAGUACUUCGAUCUCAAGAAUCGCGCUAACUCCAAGCUCUACACCAACCAAUCACCGAUUCAGUCCAGAAUUUGCAGCAGUAGAGUAGGAAUGAGAUUCGACCAAGCUAACCUUCACCAAAUCUGGCAAGUGAGGGCUUCGUGGAUUCCUCUCGAAGUUCCGAAUCCAACGAACCAAGUCUCGUCGAAAUCCGAUGCUCCUACGUCGCGUACGAGCCAAAACACCGACAGUAGACGCAGAAAUCUUAGAACCAGCACGACAUCAAGGAUGGCGAAAAUCCGCACUCGCCCGGCCUCCUCGCAGCAACACGACGUCGAAAAUAAGCUCGAGCGGCUCCGCGGCACGCCGUCGACGACGAAUCCGAGCUUCGCGGCUACCUCUACGCGGCUCCUCCGCUUCGGCUCUCCACUCCACACGAAAGAGAGAAAGAAAAACUAAUUAGAGAGGUUUAGGUUGCUUCCCUUAAUUAAAUGCAUGGAUAACUAUGCAUGGGGGCACGUGGCACCCACCUAUAUAUAUAUGUAUAUACAUGGGGCAUGUGGCAUCCAUAUAUAUAUAUAUGGAUGUAUAUUUAAAGGAUACUACAUCCUCCCCCACUACAAUAAGUUUCGUCCUCGAAACUCAAACAUACCUUUGCUCAGGCAUCAAACAAAAAGGGAUAGGCCUCCCUCAUCACCGUCUCAGACUCCCAAGUCGCCUCCCGCUCAUCAUGAUUAUUCCACUGCACUUUCACAUACGGGAUGACCCGACUGCGCAAUUCUUUCGUCUCCCGAGCAAGAAUCCGCAACGGUCGCUCCUCAUAUCUCAGAUCCUCGCCAAUCUCAAGUGGAGUGAAGUCAAUCACAUGAGAGGGAUCGAAAACGUAUCUCCUCAAUGCUGAGACGUGAAAAACAUCAUGGAUGCCAGCAAGUCGCGGGGAUAGAGCUAUCCUGUAAGCCACCGGUCCGAUACGCUCCAAUACCUCGAAAGGGCCAACAAAACGUGGACUAAGCUUCCCACGUACUCCAAAUCGGCGUAUCCCUCUGGACGACGAGACUUUGAGAAAAACAUGAUCUCCAACCUGAAACUCCAAGUCUCAUCUCCUAGUAUCGGCGUAACUCCUCUGUCGGCUCUGUGCUGUCAAAAGGUGUCGUCGAACGACUCUCACCUUUUCCUCAGCCUCAAGUAGAAUCUCUGGUCCAAGUGUCUUCCGCUCUCCCACAUCACUCCAAAAUAAGGGGGAUCGACAUCUGCGUCCAUGCAACGCCUCAAACGGAGCCAUCUGGAUGCUCGCUUGAUAGCUGUUGUUGUACGCAAACUCAACCAGUCUCAAAUGUCGAUACCACCCUCCUCCAAAGUCCAGGACACAUGCCCUCAGCAUGUCCUCUAGAGUCUGAAUGGUCCGCUCUGACUAACCAUCUAUCUGUGGAUGAAACGCCGUGCUAAAAUGUAGCUGUGUACCCAAGGCGGUCUGAAGACUCCUCCAAAACUGGGAUACAAACCUCGGGUCUCUGUCUGAUACAAUCGACACUGGCACGCCGUGCAGCCUAACGAUCUCAUCCAAGUAUAGCUGCGCAAGUCUCUCCCUGGACCAGGUAGUCUGAACCGGUAGGAAGUGAGCAGACUUGGUCAGUCUGUCCACUAUCACCCAAAUCGCGUCGUAGCCACCCUGCGCUCUAGGCAAUCCAACGACGAAGUCCAUCGUGAUGUGCUACCACUUCCACUCGGGAACUGGCAGACUCUGAAGCUUGCCAGCAGGCACCUGAUGCUCGGCCUUCACCUGUUGGCAAGUCAAACACUGAGCCACAAAUCUGCCAAUGUCCCUCUUCAUUCCAGGCCACCAGAACCGUGCCUUAAGAUCCUUAUACAUCUUGGUUCCCCCAGGGUGAACCGUAUAAGGGGAACAAUGAGCCUCUCUCAGAAUAUCCGCUCGAAUCUCCGGAUCCACAGGCACACACAGUCGGUCCCUGUACCGUAGUACUCCCGAACUGUCCAAAGCAAAACCCUCAGCCUGCCCCCUGUCUAGCUGCUCUCUAAUCCUCAACAAGUACGGAUCUCCACUCUGUUUCUCUCGGAUCCUAUCCAACAGAGUGGGCUGUAAAACUAGAGACGUCAGCCUCGCCGUAGACCCAGGGGGUACUAUCUCGAGUCCCAGCCGCUGUAGCUCCUCGAGUAGGGGUCUCUGCUCAGUAAUCCUCAAACUCAGGCUCUGCACUGACUUCCUGCUCAACGCAUCUGCCACCACAUUCGCCCUGCCGGGAUGAUACUGAAUACUAAUGUCAUAGUCCUUCAGUAACUCCAACCACCGGCGCUGCCUCAGAUUCAGCUCCCUCUGUGUGAACAGAUACUUGAGACUUUGAUGAUCGGUGAAAACCUCGCAGUGCUCGCCGUACAAGUAAUGCCGCCAGAGCUUCAAAGCAAAAACCACCGCGGCAAGCUCCAAGUCAUGCGUAGGGUAAUUCUUCUCAUAAUCCUUUAACUGCCGUGAAGCAUAAGCAAUCACCCUACCAUGCUGCAUCAGCACGCAACCAAGUCCACUGUGCGAUGCAUCACUGUAGAUCACGAAUCCAUCCCCCAUCACCGGAAGGGCAAGGAUAGGAGCCGACGUCAACCUCAGUCUCAACUCGUCAAAGCUCCUCUGACAGUCGUCGCUCCAGACAAAACGAAUCCCCUUCCGCGUCAAGCGUGUGAGGGGUGUGGAAAGCUUCGCAAAGCCUUCCACAAACCGACGGUAAUAUCCUGCCAGUCCCAGGAAGCUCCGUACCUCAGUCACCGUCGUCGGUCUAGGCCAAUCUCGAAUCGCCUCAAUCUUCUUCGGGUCCACUGCUACGCCCUCGGCUGAAAUCACGUGGCCCAAGAAAGCGACCUCCCGUAACCAAAACUCGCACUUCUUUAACUUGGCAUACAACUUCUUCUCUCGCAGAAGCUGUAGCACAAUCCUCAAGUGCUCCUCAUGCUCAGCAUCGCUCCGGGAGUAAAUCAAGAUAUCAUUAAUAAAGACUACCACAAACCUAUCCAAGAACGGCUUGAACACUCUGUUCAUCAAAUCCAUGAAUGCGGCAGGGGCAUUCGUCAAUCCAAAAGGCAUCACCGUAAACUCAUAAUGCCCGUACCGAGUCCGAAAAGCCGUCUUGGAAAAUCCUCGGCCCUCACCCUCAGCUGGUGGUAACCUGACUGGAGAUCAAUCUUCGAGAAGACAUAAGAUCCCUGCAGCUGAUCAAACAAAUCAUCAAUGCGCGGCAAGGGAUACUUAUUCUUGAUGGUCACUUUAUUCAGCUCCCGGUAAUCCACACAUAACCUGAGCGAACCAUCCUUCUUCUUUACAAAUAGCACUGGCGCUCCCCAAGGCGACACACUGGGUCUCACAAACCCUUUAUCCAUCAAAUCCUGAAGCUAUGCCUUUAGCUCUCUCAGCUCUGCCGGUGCCAUCCGAUAAGGUACCGUUGAGAUUGGUGCAGUUCCAGGAACUACAUCAAUCACAAACUCAAUCUCCCUCUCCGGCGGCAACGUAGUCAACUCAGGGAAAAAUACAUCUGGAAACUCGCGGACUACUGGGAUGUCCUCAAGUCCCGGCGCCGCCGUUGGUACCUCCACAAUAGUCGCUAGGAAAGCGAUACACCCGCUACUCAGCAUCUGUCGAGCCCUCGCCGAAGAUAUCCAGGUGGCAAAUAGCGUGCUCCUGCAGCCUCUGAAAGUGAACUCCUCCUGACCUGGCUCGCGGAACGUCACCGUCCUCGCUCCACAGUCGAUCGUAGCGUAGUACCGCGCCAGCCAAUCCAUACCGAGCACGACGUCGAAGUCCUGCAGCUGCCCUAACACCAACAAGUCUGCAGGCAUGACACACGAGUCCAACUGCACCGGACACGACAAACAACACUCCGCAACCAGUAAAACAUGGUCCGGGAUCUGCACCUCUCGUGCCUGUGACAAUGCCCCUAACUCUAGCCCAUGCAACAAUGCAAAUGCUCGGCUAACAAAGGAAUGCGAUGUACCAGUGUCGAAAAGAGUGCGAACUCUAAUGCCAGAAAUCAAAGUGAUACCUGCCACCACUCGGUCGGCUGCUGUAGAGUCCUCCACCUGAGCUGCAUAGACUCUACCACUCGGAGCCUGCUGUCGAAGCUCACCCUGUCGCGGCAUGGACGACCUAUCCUCCUGGCGGUAACUCGGUGCUGCUCUGUAAGUCUGCUGAGGUGCUGGUGGAGCUGAAGCUGAUGAUGGUGCUGGAGAUGCUGCUCGAGGACAAGCUGCCCUCAUGUGUCCCGGCUGACCACAUCCGUAGCACCGGCCCUCCCUCUGCUCACACUGUCUGGGCCAGUGUGGUCCUCCGCAGAUCACACACUGCGGCGCCCUCUCAGGCUGUCCUCUCUUACGGGAGUCUCUGGAUCGCUGACGUCCUGAGAACCCACGACCCUGAGAACGCGAUCGUGGAGGUCUCGGCGGACGCCUGCUACUCGAUUGGCCUCCGUCGUCUGGAGCUGGGCGCUUCCUGUCCUGAGUCUGUCCCGGCUCCUGAGCCCUCUCUCGCAGUGACACCUCUCCUCUCUCCUCCCAUAGUGCUUGCUCAAUGGACGCGUCCAAAGUCCUCGACCUCUGCGCCCUAACGAACCUGAACAGGUCGGGUCUCAAACCCUGCUCGAACAAGUAGACCCUAUGUGCCUCGUCUCUGGCCACGAACGGAACACAGUUCAGGAGUCUAGUAAACUCCCGAACAUACUCCUGAACUGUCCGCUCGCCCUGCUGGAUCCUCUUCAAAUCCUCCUCAACCUUCUGUUUCAUGCUGUUCGAAAAAUACAUCCCAUACAGCAUUCCACAGAACUCAUCCCACCUCAGCUGCGCUGCCUCCAGUCUCUGGUCUCGCCUCACUCUCCGCCACCAGUCACGUGCAUCACCUGACAAACAGUGUACUCCCAAAGGUACCUGCUCCCCCUCUGGAACGUACAGAUCCUCGAAUAACCUCUUCAUAGCACUGACCCAACCCUCAACAACCCAGGCCUCAGUGCCUCUACCAUCGAAGAUCGGUGGAUCAAAUCGGCGGAAACGAGUUAACCUCUCCGUCCACCGCUCCUGCUCGGCCUCAGUCAAUGGUACAGGCCCCCUGGCAGGCGCAACUGGCGCUAUAGGAAUCUCCACCGGUGGGGGCAUAGCUGCGGCUGGAGCUGACGCUGGAGUAGUCGGGAGUGGAACAGUCUGCUCUGGUACACUCGGUGCUGAACUCGGUGACUGAGCUAUCCUCUCACACAACCUCUGCAACAACUCUCCCUGCUGCCUCGUCACCUCAGUCAGGGCAGCCAACUGUGCACUCAGAUCAGGGGGUGCGCUAGCCUCAGGUCGCGCACUCGGCUCUCCAACAGGGGGUGCACUAGCCUCCGGUCUGUCCCUCUGCUCCUGCCGAGCACUCUGCUCCAUCUGCUCAGAUCUCUCAGAAGGUCCCGCACGAUCCCGCAACGACGGUCGACCUCGGCGACGAUACAUAGCUGAAAAGAAACAAGUCGGGGUCAGAUACACGCAACACUCUAGACCCAAUCAACGAAACUCGGGAAGGCGGUCCCUGUUUUCCUCCAAAAUUAUGUCGUCUGCAGCCAACAUAAUUUUUCAGGCCAAAACAGGAACUCCUUCAGUCACUCACUCCACUCUAGGAGGAAUUAGAACAAAUAAUCAUUGACCUUCGCAAUUAAAUGACGCCUCUCGCGUCUUGCUUCCUAAGGUUUGCCAACUUAGGGUUUCCUAGGUCCCAACGACCUAUAGCAAAGCUCUGAUACCAACUUAAUCUGUCACGCCCCGGAUAUCUCGUUCCCCGGGCACGACGACAAAUCCGCCGUAUACAAAGAAAUAUCCCUUGUAUACGAAGCGUCAAAGUACCUGUAGAAUACGAUACUACAAACAGUAGCAUAGAGCUACUAAAAAAAACCUAAAUAACUGAGUUUCAUAUACAUAGCUAGAAUCCAAAAUACAAGGUUACUCGCACUGGCGAGUUAAACAACUAUGUACAUAAACUCCAAAACAACAACUACCUGCAGUAGUGGAAAGCCUCUAGCUCUGACUAUCGGGUAGGGCUCUAGCUCGCAACGCCCUUGCCUCGAUCCUGGUCGGCGGAAGAUGCAGCAGCCGGCACCUGUGGCUCUGCAAAACAGGAGUAACAACUGGGCGUGAGAACUACUGUAAAAACAGGUAGUCCUCAGUGGGUGCCGCCCAAAAUAACAUCGGUCUACCCACUAAGUCUACAGAAGGGAGCAAAAAUAGUAGGAAAAGCAGGAAGUACACUCUAUCGCUAUCAAUCACUACGCCAUCAUGCUCUACACUAACCAACUGUAGGAAAUGUCAAAUCUGACCCAAUCCAAUCGGGACUGUAAACAUACCCGUCCUUGGGACUGUGAAUACACCCGUCCCUGCCCCGUUGCGACUAUCCAGCUACCCCCACACUAACUGGUCUGUGGAGAGCAAGUCCAACUGGCAUGAGCGACACCAACGCGAAAGCACAAAGCCUGACUCCGGAGUGGCACUCGUGGGCGCUACCCAACCGAGUAUGCAGCGUAUCUCUGUCGAGCUCAAUCAGGCUCCAACUAGCCAAAGUCAAGUAAUCGACUCAAACUGAUCUAACAACCAACAGGUAACGUGCCCUCGGCACAGUCUGACGCCAAAAAGGCGAUACGGGUCGACGGCACCUAACAGUCCGAAAAAACCUGAACGACCCUGUAAAAAUCCACUUGGCGAACCAGCACGAGUGUAAAUACAUUCUAGACUACCUGGAGUACUCGUCUCGAAGAAACUGCGACAGUACAAUUUUCUAACGACUCCUAGAGCUAAAUUAGGCAGUUUAUACAGGUGACAGGUCCAUAUCGCAGGUUUUCUCCUAAUUCAAUUUCAAGUCCAACAUGUAUAAUCUACUUAAUUUAUA